CAAGUCUUUCCCCAAGAGGGCAUGUGUGUGACACUACCAUGAUCAAGAAUCCAUUUCCUUGCUCUGGCACAAGCAUUGUCCUGGCCUCCAUCAGGUCCGUCUCCAAGAAUGCGCAUACAAAUGUAGCUCAGGGCUGUGCCGAACAUGGUGCUGUGGCCUUCAAUAUGUAAUCCCCAACCACCAUCUUGAUUCUGAAAAUACAUUACCUUUCUUUAUAUACUAGUUUAACACAAAAUAUGCACAAUGAGUGGAAAUUAAAUUUAAAAAUUGAUCCCAUUUGUGUGAACCAAAUAAAUAAGUGUGCACCUGAUGAUAGUAUAUGUAACGCAGAAUUUCUCUGCGAUGCUCUGCUGGGAAUACAGUAUUAAGAUGCCCUGUAAUGUAUGUACACAUGACCUGAAAAAAAAUAAAAUAAAAUAAAAAAAUAAAAAAAAAUAAAAAGGGAAAAUUAGUCAAACGCUCCAAAAUUUUAGUAAAAAAUCUCUAAUGAAUAACUGUAAUUAUAAGGAAAUUAGAAAUUAUAUACUCACCAAAGGAGGAAGGAAAAACAACGGGCCAGCAUUUUCAGCAGGCCAAUGGCCAUCACUUGCCUGCAAGGCUGAAAAGAAGUGAACAGAUCUUCUCAGUGAGGCUGUUGCCUUUUCAUAUGUGAUUUCCUCGCCAUCCUCAACCUUUACUGGGGGAAUUGUCUGCUUGAAGUUCUUCUCUUUUAGGAACUGCAGUUUAGUGAACAGAGGAGAGGAUUGGGAUUUGCAUUAGAGAAAAAGUAAGUUAAUUCAUGAUGCUGAUUUCAGUGGGGGUGAAAAGGUUUUGGAGGCCUAGGCGAGCCACCAAAAUGUUACCUUCUACUCUUUAUGCAUAUUUAUGUAAAUUUUUUUGGAUAAGUAGAACAAAAUUAUAUAACUCAAAGUCACAAUUGUAACCUAAAAAGAAAUAAAUAAAAUGUAAUUCACAUAAUAACUUUAUAAAAUACAUCAAAACAUCAUUUAAAUAUCACUUAUUUUAUACUUUUCGAUGCAAAACGUAGCAAUUAACUUUACAUAAUCAAAAUUUUCUACCAUGUCUUUUUCAAUAUAAAAUAUAAAAACUAAAUAUAAAGCAAUAGUCUUGUGGAUUUUUACCUUCUUAUUCUUGCGCUUCCUCUUGCAGUGCAUAUAUUCAACUAGAUUAACUUAUUUAACUUUUUAAACUUUUUUAAAAAUAAUAAUAAUUGGUCCUUUAUUGAGUUUCCCUUUUUAAGUUUUAGAGUAGAUAAUUUGGCUUAAUAUAAUAUCAAUAGAGUAAUGCUAUUUAGCAUUACUCAUAUCAAUACGGUACAAAAGUAACAUAUCAGUUAUGAUUUCUUAGACUACAGGGAUUCAAGAGAUUUGUGGUCACUCACCGUUGGAUGUAAAUUCAACGGUUCACUCACUCUUACACUCCUUUUAAAAAACUUUUUUGAACCAUUAGAUUAAUAUCCAAAGGUGAGUGACCACAAUUUCUUAAACUCUUAUUGUCCAAGAUAUCGGAACUGAGUAAUAUAUAUAUAUAUAUAUAGUGGUUUAUAAAAAUUGAGGGCACUUCUAAUUUGGAUUCCUUAGACGACUGCCUUACCCGCCUAUCUCCCGGGUGAUUAUAUAACAAACUUAUGAGUGCAAAUUGAAAACAAGAAAAAGAAUUCAAAAUUUGACAGGUUUAAAGCUAACUAUUUGUCUAGUUGUAUUUUUCUUUAUUUCUUUAUUUUAAUUAAUUAUUUAUUUAUAAGAUAUGAUAUCAAGUUUGAAACCCCUUUCAAGAUUUUUAUAAUAAUUUAAUAAGAAAAACCAAGACAAACAUACACACUCAUGUUCUCUUGCUAAACUUAAGUCUAAGAAGAAGAGAACAUUACUAAGUACUAACGAAAUUAAGUGGAUAAAGACCUGCAUACGCCAUAGGAGGUCACCACUAGGCUUGACCUGAUAGCGAUUAUUGUAGAAAUUAAGACGAGCUUCUUCCACCUCGGCUCGCUCUUCGGGAGUUCCUGCCUCGGCAUCAAACUCAAAUAUCUGCCUCCCCACAAAGUCGUUUGUGCUGUAGAUGUAAGGGUCAUUCCCUCCAUCUGCAACCUUAAGCUUCCACAUUCUUCAAAUAUCUCUUUCUUAUUAUAUAUAUAUAUAUAUAUAUAUAGCUACCAAGUGCUGUUCUACCUUGAUAUAUAUCUUCUCAGUAAGAACCUGUUUCAUGCAUAUGCAAUGUAUAUAAGUCACAAUUAAUACACCAUAAAGAUGUGCUAAGUAGCUUGGUGAAUCUAUAUAUACAUAGGAUCCCCUGGCUUUCCAUAUUUUGUAAAUGUCUGAAUUGUUGUAUAUAUAGUGUGUACGGAUAUUUGUGUGUGUGUGAGAGAGAGAGAGAGAAACCCCGUACGUACAGUUUGCAGUUUGCAAAGAAGCUGCUGCAGAAACCGUAUUGUAGAGUUUGGUUAUAUAGCUAAGAAUGAAAGAGAGGUGGGGUUGGCCAGCUAUAGCGUUGUAUAUGUAUGGUUAAUACGCGCAGAGAGAGAGAGAGAGAGAGAGAGAGAGAGAGAGAGAGAGAGAGAGAGAGCCCUAGUGCAGUUUGCAAAGAAGAUUGAAUUUGGUUAUAACGAGAUGAAAUGCAGGAGAACUUUAUAGACAAAACAAACAAUAUGAGGUAUAUAUGCCAUGUGAUGUUAUUGUCUUUGGUCUUUUGGUAAUUAAGCUGAUCAGCUAUGUGUCAUUUUUUUCAACGAAGGCGGCGCUUACCCAUGAUUGCUAUUGCCACGGCCAAGCCAUGACAGAUCCCUUAAUUAAUUUGAUAAACUGGUGAUCAUGUGAGAGAGGAUUUUUCAUACAUACUAUUAAAGUGUCAUAUGUAGGUGACUCGAUACAAGUUAUAUUGUGUAAGUCCCAUAUAUAUAAAUGAAAUAAUAAUCUACAAUUAAAAUAUAGAUAAUCCACUUCUAAUUACACUAAUGCUUGUUUUUAAGGUAAAACCCCACAUAAUUUGUACAAGUAGCGAAACUCCUGUUGGGUCACUAAAACUUUCAACUCUUAAUUCCUAACUCACUUAUAAUAAUGAAAGCCGAAUAUUGGGUUAGGUGUGUGGGGACAUGAAAGCUGAAUUUAUUUUUUGAAUAAACGCUUUGAAUUUCUCCCUUUAAUAAACGUUUUGAAUUUCACCCUUUAAUAGAGUGCAUUUCCUACAAACCAAAUCACUCUUGAUUUUCCAAUCUUGCGUGUCUCCAUCUCCAUGUGUGUUGUGUGAGUUUUGCAAGCUGAAGCCGGCACACGUACCUAUGCAUGAUGUGGUCAACUAAUAAAACAAAAAAUUACUAUUAUACUUAAUAUAAAAUUUUAAAUUAUUUAUAAAAAAAAUUAUAUAAAAAAAAUCAAUUUACAACAUAAUAAAGAAGUUUUGAACUUUCUAUAAAUUACAAAAUUGUUAUCGAUUUCUUAAAAUAAGCCCAACUUUAAAACUUCAUAAUAAAACUCAAAACACUCAAUAGGACAUCAAAAUUACAGGUAGUCCACAAUACAGUAACAAGUAAGUUAAUGCGGACGUGCUCAAAUAUUAGCCAAAGCAAAAACAAGUCUUACCACUUAUUGUCUGUUUGGCAUUGCUUAUUUGGGAUGAUAAGUGAUUUUUAAAAAAAUUUGAGAAGCCCAACCCGUUUGAUAAACUGUGAGAAAAUCACUUAUUGUUAAAAAUUACUGUGAGAGAAAGCUAUAAGUGAAAGCAGCUAAUGAGGUGCUUUCAUUUUCUGAUGAUGCAGGAAUCAGUUUCGAAGAGGGGCUGGGCUUAAUGAUUAUGCGGCAAUCAUUUUUUGAUUAUGCAUAAAAUCAAUACCAACAACACUUUUAACAAAAAUUUUACCAAACGCUAAACUGCUUUAUCUCACAAUUGAUUUUUCUCACAACAAAUCUAACAGUGAUUAUUUUCACAAUAUAACAAUGCCAAACUAGCCUUAUAUUCCUGCCCACCAAAGUCCAAGUCAGUGAGCCUACAAAUAUAUAUUAAUUAAUUCAAAAUAAUUCAUUCUAGAGCAACAAUUAACGGUGGGAUGGCCCAUUUGGCAUGGUUCCAUGGAUCGCCUCCUCCAAUAUAAUCAUAUCUUUUCAACUACAACACGACAAAGGUUCACAUUAAUAUGAAAAAGCUUAGAAUGAUUUUGGCUUUGUAUUAAAGUCUCUGAUAAAUUUUUGCAUGUUUCGGUACUAUUUAAUAUACAUAAGACAUGUAGUUUGAAUUUUUCAACUUAUUGCAUUAUUUUUUAAAAAUAAAAAUAAAAUAUUUUCACAGCAAAAAUCUCGAAGUGAGUAUUAAAAGUUAAAAUAAAAUGAAACAAAAAUUAAUCUUUUGAAGCAUAUUCAUCAGAACGAUGCAACUUAAUUUGCUACUAGAAAAUUAACAAAUUUAUUUAAAUUCAACUCAAUGCAGACAUAAUGGACCAAGGGCAAAAAUCAAUAAUGGAAACUUUGAAAUGUAUUUAUGAUAUGAUUCCUUCCCCUCGCUGCUGUGACCUUUGCAAAGGUCUAGCUUGGUUCAUAUCUAUAAUCUCGUUGUCGGUUCAUUAUUCAUACACACUUUUGUUGCUAUCUUUUAGAAAUUUCCCCUAGUAGCUAAGGUGGACAGCAGUAGUUGUAACAGAAAUUAAUUACGUAUUGUUAUGUGAACUUAUUUUAUCGUCAUUUUUGAAGCCAGAGUUUAAAAAUAUAGUUUUACUUUACAGAUUAAUAGUCUCAAAUUUGAACCCUUUAAAUAACUUAAUAAAGUGUGUAAGAAAAACCCCGGGAUGAUGGGUGAGGGCUAAUGCGAAGUGGCCACAUACUAGGUAUGCAAUGUCCAAAAUCAAUGUCAACACACAACUAUGACCACAUAUUAUAAUUCAAUUAACUCAACCCCAAACGACGUAAUUUUGACUAUAAGCACGAUACAAAAACGAGUUACAACCACCAAAGACAAGUACACCACUCAUUUUUCGUCAAGGCUGCUGUGGAUUUCUAACGAAGUUUGAAGUUGACCAAAAUUUUAUUUUUACCUCAUUUAAGUACAAUCCAAGAAAAGCCAUAUUAAAUUGGAAAUUAAAACUCAAUCACAAUGUCUCAUUCCUCAAGCUAGCUUGAGCUCUGCAAAUUAAGCUAUUUUUGAAACUUAUUUGAGCAAUGAAAAAAAACCAAGACUCAGCUGAGGGACAAAACCAAGUUUACAAACUAUUCCAUUGUUUUCUUCCUGAAAUCUGCUUCUCCUAUAAUGAACAAGUUAAACUGCCUUGAAGAAUUUUAGGGCCCAUAUUUCAUGAGAUUAAUUUUGAAGUAAGCUAUUAACAUAUAUUGGGGGUGCUAGAUCCUCUCUGAUUGGAUUGUACACAAGUAAUCUGUUAGUACGAAAAUCGUAUUGGCAUUUCUUAGACUGUAGUAUAGGUUGAAAAUUAGUUUGUGAGAAAUUGCUACUCGAAGUUUUGGCACUACCCUUUCAAUCACAUACCUCCGAGGCAUACUCUGACCAUAUGAGAAACUUGACAACAGGUAAAUCAUGACAUAUCAUGCAUUCAUGAUAGGAGUUAUAGUUGAAGUUUUGUUUUGAGUCUUUAUAAUUGAAGUUAAAAUAUGAGUCGGUUGGUGACUUCAUUAAGAGUCCUUAAUGAAUUAGACUUUGUAUUUUUAUUGAAUCAAAAUUUAUAUUGUUAAUUUGAUAAGUGUUUGGCCCUUGUGUUGCGUCUCAUUAAGGAGAGCAGAUUGCACCAGGUUCAAAGAGUUUUAGUUCAAUUGGUCUUAGAGUUAUAAUUAUUUUGGAAGUGUAGUCUCGCAAGUUUCUCUCUCGUGAGAAACUUGCUGUGAAUAAAAAGGAGGCUUUGCCUUCUUGUGAUGUAAGCUUUUCCAACGUCCAAAACUAUUGAAGCAUAUUGAAUAUAGUUUGGGAAAUUCCAACGUCCAAAACCAUUGAUGCACAUUGAAUAUAUUUUGGGAAAAGCUGCUGCACUUAGAUCACUCGGAUAGUCAUCAAGUGCUUAGGUUGCUUGGUGAUUGAUCGAAUUCAUUCAUCAUUCAUAUUGCAUACAUAUGCAUGUCGGUGUCUCAUAUGGUUAAGGACAUCAAGACACUUUGUGUGUUUAUCCUCCGGUGAGCUUGAAGCAAUCGUGACCAGUAUUGCAUUCAACAAAAGGAGUGUCAAAGAUCAUCCCGUGACAGAAGCUGAGUUACGAAGAAGUCGGUAAACAUUGUCUAGAUUGAGUCUAAGACAAGUGUGUGUGCGUAUUUCUUGUAAUCUCAAUUCUAUAGUAGAUUCGUUCUGGACUAAGGAGUCCCGUGGAUUUUCCCCAGAGGUGGGGUUUUACCACGUAAAAUAAAUACCUGCGUGUUCUUUUAUUUUAAGCUUUGCACAUCUCAGGAUUGAUAACUCAUAUCAAUCCUACUUAAAAGGUUGAUCAUUAUUUAUUGCAAAAAAUCCGAAUUAGUUUGUUUAACCUUCUCCAGGCAUUUAUAGAUAUCCUACAGGUAUUUUCAUAAUCUAUUUGGAUUUGACAAGAAAUUCAAUCUCAUUGGAUUGUCCACAAGUAAUCGUAAUUCCUCAAAUUUGAAUAUCCUUUCGUCGUCUUUUCUAGGCCCAAAGCUUACUUCAUUUUCUCCUUUUUCUUUUUACUUUUUUUGAUGAACUAGGGACAAGACAAAAACUACACUCAACCAGAGCCCGCAAGUUUACUAUUCACCCUAAAAUGACAGGUGUACUGUAUCUUUAAAGUAUUGAUGCCCUUGUAUGUUGGAUCAAGCUGAAUAAAGAGCUCACUUUGGGCCUGAGAAAUGGCCUUGGAAUAAUCCUUGUAACUUAAUGAAUAGACGUGCCACUAUUGGUACUUGGCUAAGACCAAUAAAAGAUGUGUUACUACUAUGUUGUUUGAAAUGUUUAAGAUUCACGCUCAAUUUCUUAAAAUCUAAUCAAGGCAUUGUGUAACAAGUGAGGAACUGACUUUGAUUAGUUCUUUUUAAUGCCUUGUAUGAUUAAGAACUUCAAUAUUCUACUUUGUAUGAUAAUAAGACAAAGUCUGAUACAACAGUAUACAAAUUAAGUUACACUGCCGAAUAUGACAUUUACACUAUUGACGUUGCCCAAUUUGAGCUUUAAGAUAUAAGAAAGAGUAAAUAUCCUUGUAUUGAGAUUAAAACAUGCUAUAUUACAACUUGGAACUGAAUAUCUCUCUAUUCAGUUCAAGAUACAAAGAGUUGAUGAUAACUAAAGAACUUAUAAGACUAAUUCUAUAAACUAGGAAUCAUUCCAAGUGAUGACAGAGCAAUAAACAAAAGAAAUCUCAAGAGUGGUCAGCUGGAAAUCUUAAAAUGAAGAGUGCAAUUUGAAUUCAACGAGAUCAUGUAUUGAUUAAGUUUGAAUGUUGAUCUCAUUUUGAAUGUGAGAGAGAUUGUCUAUGUCCCGUGCAUUUCCAAAUUGGUAGUAUAUAUAACCCUCUUGGUAUUUGUAUAUGCACGUGUGGUGAUAAGAUGGCUGAAUCUGCUAUCAAUCCUUCUUUUACGGGUGAGUUGGUGAACUCGAAUGCCUUGCUUCUUAAGUUGACGGUGAGAACUGGCCUUAGUCUAGUCUUUUGUUGACAAGUUAGUUCAGUAGGCCUUUAAUGUUCAAAUCGCAUUUAAUGUGGUUGCUUAGUCCUUGGUUUACCACCUAAAAUCUCCCCCAGUUGUCAAGAUUAGACGAAAUCCUUUGGGUAAAGUGUAUUUACCUGGGUAAACCCAUUUAGACUGUGGGUAAAAGUGCUAAGUCAAAGAGCAAACAAGUUUGGGCUGCAGCCAUUGGGUCCAUGACUUGACCCAAUUGAGACGCUAUCUCUUCCUUAGCUUGGAUAGAAACCUUGACUUUUUGGCCCAAAGCUAAUUCUCGUGAUGAUUGAGGCCUUACCCCAUAUGUUCUAAUUCUCUCAUGGUAUCAAGAGUCUAUUGACUUACAGUCAGAAAUUUUUCUUCUUUUCUAUUCCUCAUGGCCUCUUCUUCUGAUUCCGGUGAUGCUCUUCCCUCUGUCUCUCAAGCUGUUCAUUUCAAGCUUGAUCGAAAUAACUAUCCCAUUUGGUUGGUCUAGAUUCUCCCUCUCCUCAAAAGCCGUAAUAUGAUGUCCUUUGUCAAAGAUGAUGCCAUAGCUCCUCUUCCUUUUCUUACGAAUGACAAGGGCAAGCUUACUGAUGUCAUUAAUCCUACUUACGAUACUUGGAUUCAACAAGAACAAUUGGUUUUAUCCUGGAUCAAUAGUUCUUUUAGUUCUACAGUUCUUGCCACUGUCGGUUGUCUUACUUACUUCUGCUCAUUCUACUAGGGUGGGUCUUGAAAAAUGUUUCGCCUCUCCGAAUCAGAAUCGGAUUUUGCAGCUUCGUAGUGGUGAUUCCUCCAUUGCUGAUUACUUGGACAAGGUCAAUGUUAUUGCCGACAACCUCACGUUAUCUGGUUCUCCUAUUCCUGACUCCGAUCUUCUUGCUAUCAUUAUGAAUAAUGUUGGGCCCUUAUAUGAGUCUAUUGUUGCGUCUGCUCAAGCCUGUGAAACCCCUAUUACAUAUGCCGAUCUUGAGGCUCUCUUACUCUUUGCUGAACAACGCCAUCUUGCGGUUCAUACUCCUACAUGUGAUGGUCAUGUUGAAGUUGGCUCACCUAAAGAUAUGAAAGGAGUGAAGGAAAUAGACGGUCAAAAGAGCUGUAGUCGUUUUGACUGGGCUUUGCCGCUCGAGCGGCAAAAUGGUGGUUUCUUGCCUAGGCACCGGCGCUCGAGAGAAACCUGCUCGCUCUCGAGCGACAGAGCGAGAAUUCACGCUUUCUGCUUGAGCUGGAGGCGAGUCUCCAACGCAGAUCCUUGGUGAAUUAGGAUAGAUUGUCACCCUAUGACAUAUAAAUAGGCAAUUUAAUGCUAGGUUAUUAUAACGUGAGAAAACUAAGGCAUGAAAUUGAGUUUGAGCCAAGACUGAGAGAAAAGAGAGCUAGGGUUUGUCAGAUAGCAAAGGGGAUUCUUCAUUGUAACCAAAUGGGUUCUUUCAUACUAGUGAAUUUCUCAGGGAUCACCAAGAGGACAUAGGCACAACACUGAAUUUCUAUAAAUUCUUGUGUUCUUUGUUUGCUUCUUUACUUUUCGAUUUGUGUGUGCUUUAUCUUUGUGUGGUUUAUGUCUGAUAGUUCUAUAGUCCAUCAACGACAAGGUCUUGGAGUGUUUUUCACAACAUAUUGUCCCACAAAAUCCAAAUGCCACUAGAGUAACAAUUGGCAUUGACAACCAAGGAAAAUCAUUCUUGACAACAAAUGCAACCAGAGUCCAACACACCAUUCUUGACAUCAACAAGGAUCUUCUGCAUCAAAGCAGUUGUCCAAAUAAACAAGGGUUUGUAGCCCCAAAGUAGAGUCAUUAGCAGGGUUAAAGGCCCUUAAACUGACUGGUGCAUUUCUGGAAGGUUACCAAGGGUUGUGGACUUUCUUGCUUCUUUUCAAUUGAUCAUUUUAAGAACAUCUCACACGUAUUUUCACUCGUUAAUAUUGUAAUUGUAGCAUAAUUUAGUGUUGACACAAAUAUAUUUUUCUUUAAUUAAAAUUGAAUUGUAUAGUUAAUCUAACUUUCUCAUAGAUUUAUUGACACAUUGUGCAUAGGCAUCAAGCUGAGCCUCAUAAAAAUGAAUUCCAACAAUUGGCUCUUAUAUAUAUAUAUAUGUUGCAUCCUUUAAGUUGGAUGAGCUGCAUAAUACAGUAUUUAGGCUUUGGAAGGCAAUGGGACCCACUUGAGGUACUCUGCAAGAGCCCACAGAGGGUAGAUGUUUCUGUAAGCUGCAUAAUGAAGCAUGCAGUUCUUCAUGAUCACUCCUGUAAUUUCCUGCCAUAGUUCAGUGAUUAACGGUUAGAAAAAGUUAAAAGUAAAAAUUAAGCAGAUUGUAAUGCAAGUCAUGCUAUGCUAAGAAAGGUACCUGUUGGGGAAAAUCCCCAUUUUCCAUUUGAGAAUUGAUAAUCAACUUGGCCGCGCGAUGAAGAGGUGCAGGGUCUCUGUCUGCCUGUCCAGCAUGAAUCAGACCCAUCAUAGCCCAUCCAGUGUGUACUAAAUUUGAUCGGUUUCCUUCUAGCGGAACGUACUCCUGAAUCACCCACCACAGAGACAAAUAUUUUAAUGUAAGACAAUAGGAUUGUUUAAGAAACUUGAAGCUUAAAAAUACAAUCCACCUCCUCAUUUUACCUUUUUGGGACAUGAAAGGUAGCUCUCUACCCAACCACCAUUCUCUCUGUGUUUUGAGUAGAAAGUUAACCCCUUUGCGCAUGGCUAAACAAUUAUUGAAAGUCUUGCCGGCAGCUGCUAACCCUCCAAGGGCAAACCAGGAACCAUAUGUGAAGCAAACUCCCCAAUUUCCAUACCUGUGCAAAAUGUUCCUCAACUAAGUUAUUCUUCUCCUCUAGUUGUUAAUUGAAACAAACAUUUAUAUAUUUACAUAUCUGACUAUCUAAACAUACCAUGAACCAUCUGGCAUUUGUAUACUUUCAAUGUACUGCGUAGCAUUGGUAAUGGAAUGAUCAAUCUCUUUCUUCCUGUGCCCAGGAUACAACUUCUUAAACAGAACCAAAGCCUGAAUUGCAGUUGAAGUGCAUUCAACAUAUUCAUGCUCAACCACAAUGUCUGCGAAGAAUUCAGUGGGAUUUAACAUCUAGGGGAAACAAAAAAGAGAGAGAGACUAUAGAGUAUCUGCUAAUGGAUAUUUCAAGAACAUUAACUUCUUACUUCUAACCAAUCUGACUCCAAUUUGUUAAAAUGCUUACUUCUAACCAAUCUGAAGCUCCUGCUGGUUCCCAGGCUGCAAAACCACCAUUUUUACUCUGCAAGGAGUUGUAAAAUAAAGCUUUUUUAUUUAUGAGUUGAGUACAGAGACAUAGAAGACACAAUUUGCUUACUGCAGGGAAACCACAUGCUACUCAAAACUCAUAUUUAUGACUUAAGAUACGAGAUAAGAGUACUUGAAGACACAUUAGUUGUUACCUGUAGGGAAAGUAGGACAUUGAUAGAAUCAUAUAAUCGCUCAGGUUCCAUUUUUUCACCAACUAUAUCUGGUCGCAUCAUUGAGAACAGCAGGCAACACUGUAGAGAGGGCUAUUGUGAGAAACAUGGAGAUAACCAACAGGGUGGAUAUCUCAAUUGAUGCGUUCGUUACCUUUAAACCCUCUGCAGUGCAAUCAGAAACUUGCCAUCCAUGGUCUUGAUCAGAGAAAAUCCAUGAUCCCUUGGAAAUAUGGCGGUACAUGCUUUUGAAGUCACCUGAUGGAUUGUCCUUGACCUGUACAGUUUGAGUGCAAAGGAUUCAUUAGUCUGAACAAAUGAAUGGUUACACAUUUACACUUAAAAAAAAAUGAUAAUUUAGUUGACUCUAGUUAAAAUUGAACCUGAGAUUUCUCGAUGAAGUCAAGUCCUCUAGCGAGCGUAGGUCCAAUUUCAUCAGUGAGAUUGCUAGCAAGCAAAGCUUGAAUUGCAAACCCAGUAUCCCACUCUUGACUACCAAAACUCUGCAUAUAUCAGUCAAACAAUAAAUAUGUCAACUUCUAGGUGAGUUACUCCUUAAAAUUAAAAGCAUUUGUGAAUAUAAAAAAUAAUAAAGAAGUUUACAACAGUCCAUAAAUAAUUUGGGAUGCUUUGUAUACCAACCUGCAUCUUCAUCCCAUCUUCAGCAACCCAUAAAUAAUCUGGGAUCCUAGCAAGAUGCUUCUUAAAAUAGUCUCCAUUUGGAUCUUCAGCCCAACAAGCAAGCAUACAUAACACCUGUUCAAGUAAUGCAAAUAACAUGAUGAGAAUCUGAAAAGCUAAUAUUUUUCUCCAGUCUCCUAUAAGGUACAUCAGUAUCCUUAUCCACAUUACCUUUUCCACACAUCCAGUGGUAAUAUAUCUACUGUUUUCAUCUUCAUAAUGAAAAUGCUUCAUUGUUACUUGAAGAGCUUUUUCUCUGAUCAACUUGUUAAACGGCCAGCGAGUAAGAAUAGGCUCUGUACAUAGGUAGAGACUAUCCCACAUAAUGUCCUCUAUCCAAGGGUGAGGGUAGUAGAUAUCCUCCUGCAAUUAAAUUACCGUAAUCAGGUUCUGUACAUAAACAAGAAUCAUAAACUGAUUAAUUCAUUUAACUAAGUUUAACUCACUUUCGCGCAGUGAUGGCGAACUCCCUUCCAAUUAAUUUCAUUGUAAGGUUGAGCAUAUAGUUCUUCCCUUAAUUGCAGAAUGAGAGGUGUGAUUGGGCCAACAAACCUCUUCCCAUAUAAAUAUGACAUAGGCAUGUAAACCAUCCUACAAUAGCACCACAUUUUUGCUGCAUUUUCAAGAUAAAAAAGGUUAAAAAUUAAGAGUCCUAACUAAAUCACAAGGACACUCCUUGAGUUUGCAGAGUUCUUCAAUCUGCAGGUGUGCUAACCUGGAUGCAUAGGAAGAAAUGAAGGCAGCAUCCAAAACUCCGGCGGCAUUGGGUUGCUUCCAGACCACUCAAACACGCCAAGUAUCUACAACAAAAGCAACAUACUCAUAUUAAUUGAAGCCUAAUAAAUGAAACUGUUACUCAUAUUUUUUCCAUUCAACAAGGCCAUACGUACCGAAAGCCAAGUCUUUCCCCAAGAGGGCAUGUUUGUGACACUACCAUGAUCAAGAAUCCAUUUCCUUGCUCUGGCACAAGCAUUGUCCUGGCCUCCAUCGGGUCCUCCUCCGAGAAUGCGCAUACAAAUGUAGCUCAGGGCUGUGCAGAACAUGGUGCUAUGGCCUUCAAUAUGUAAUCCCCAACCACCAUCUUGAUUCUGAAAAUACAUUACCAUUCUUUAUAUACUAGUUUAACACAAAAUAUGCACAAGGAGUGGAAAUUGAAUUUAAAAUUUGAUCCCAUUUGUGUGAACAAAUAUACCAAAUAAGUAUGUACCUGAUGAUAGUGUUAGAAUUCUCAGUUUGUAUGUGUAUUUUCAGAUUAGGAAGAGGUGCUCAUUCUAGAGCAUUUUGCUAGAGAGAGUGAAGAGAAAAAUAGGAAUGCACUGUUCUAUUGAAUUCAGCAAAUUCUGCAGCACACAUAGUGUGACUGACAGAGAGAGAAGUGUGAUUCUCUCUAACAGAAUUACAGCUGUCACCCUAUUAGGUGAUUACACAUGUCAUACCAAAUCUAAGCUAGAGAAUCCACCUAGACUAUGAUCUAAUGGUUCUCAUUACAUCAUUUAAAUAGACUUAGCAGGAAAACAAAAAAUAGAAGAUGACUUCAGCUCUAGGAAAUCUGCAGAAGGAUUAUAUUUCAACACUCCCUUCUAAUCCUUUGGCUGAUUUCACUCCAAGCAAGCUUCUCAGCCUUACAAACCGAUCCUUAGGCAGAGCCUUAGUCAAAAUGUCUGCUAUCUGAUCUUCUGUCUUGCAAUACACCAGUUCAAUUUCUUUUGCUUGAAUGGCUUCCCUUAUAAAAUGAAAUUUCCUGCUGAUGUGUCUUGUCUUUUGGUGAUGAACUGGAUUCCUUGCCAUUGCAAUUGCAGAGGUGUUGUCACAUAGAAUUGGAGUCCCUUCUACCUGUUCUUCACCAAAAUCUUCAAGCACAAAUUUGAGCCACUUAGCUUGUGAAGUUACUUCUGCAGCACUCACAUACUCAGCUUCGGCUGUAGAUAGAGCAACUGUGUUUUGCUUGUGGAAGCCCAAGAGAACAUGCCUGAGCCUAGUGUGAAGGCAUAUCCUGAGGUGCUCCUCAUAUCAUCCUCACUCCCAGCCCAGUCACUGUCACAGUACCCAAUUAGAGUAGCUGUUUUCCCCUUUUCAAAUUCAAUUCCAAAAUCCAAUGUGCCUUGUAUGUAUCUCAGCACCCUUUUAGCAGUUCCCAUAUGUUUCUUUGAGGGAUUGUGCAUAAACCUAGCAAGCAAGCUAGAUGCAAACAUGACAUUUGGUCUUGUGGCAGUCAGAUAAAGCAGACUUCCUACAAUCUGUCUGAAUUCACUUUCAUCUGCUGCUUCACUCCCAUCUUCUCUACACAAUUUCUCAUUCACCACUAAUGGAAUUGCCACUGACUUGCAGUCUCUCAUUCCAAACUUCUCAAGAAUUUUCAUGGCAUAUUUCUUUUGAUGAAUGAAAAUAUGCUUAUUAGUUUGUUCCACUCCCAUGCCAAGAAAAUGGUGCAACAGACCCAAGUCUGUCAUCUCAUAGUGUUGCAUCAUAUCUUGUUUAAAUUCUUCAAGCAUUUUAGGGCAGCUUCCAGUAUAUAUAAUGUCAUCUACAUAAAGUGAGACAAUGAUAAUACCUGAGGUGUUACUUGUUUUGAUAUAGAGAGUAGCUUCACUUAAGCUCUUCUUAAAACCUGCAGUGUUGAAAUAGGCAUCUAUUUCAUCAUACCAGGCCCUUGGGGCUUGUUUCAGUCCAUAUAGAGCCUUGUUCAACCUGUACACCUUGGUUUCCUUGCUCUCUUGAACAUAUCCUUGAGGUUGUUCAACAUAAACUUCCUCCUUUAGAAUGCCAUUGAGAAAGGCAGACUUCACAUCCAGUUGAAAUAGGUUCCAUUCCUUUUGUGCUGCAAGGGCUAUCAAAGUUCUGAUGGUGUCAAGUCUUGCCACAGGGGCAAAUGUCUCAUUAUAGUCGAUUCCAGGCUUCUGUGAAUAGCCUUUAGCCACAAGCCUAGCUUUAUUCUUCUGCACAGUACCAUCUAGGUUCAGUUUGACCUUGUAGACCCACUUAACACCAAUUACUGGUUUGUUAGAUGGCCUGUCAACUAAUUUCCAAGUAUUGUUCUUCUCAAUCAUCUCCAAUUCAGCCUCCAUUGCACAUCUCCAUGAUUCAUCCAAAUCUGCUUCUUCAAAGCUGUCAGGUUCUACAAUGCACAUGUUGCAUUGUGCCAUUAUGUCAUUAAUACUCCUCCACUCGUGAGGUGUGUGAUCAAACCUUUGAGUCUCAUCAAGCAUUUCUUCCCCUUGAGGUGCAAUUUCUUCUUCCAUCUGCAUUUGAGUAUCCAAAAACUGAGAUUGUUCAUCUAAUAGCCUCUGUUCAGUUUCUGCAGUACCUUGAUUUCCAUCUGGCAUAGGCAUUCUCACAUCUGCAUUGCUAGGAUUCUCCCACUUCCAUGAGGCUUCUUCAUCAAAAUAGACAUCCCUAGACAAGAUAAUCUUUCUAGUCUUAGGAUCAUAGAGUCUAUAGCCUUUUUACACAAUCCAUAGCCCACAAAAAUGCAUUUGUGACUGUUUUCUUCCAACUUGUGUCUCAAAACAGAAGGAAUAAGUACAUGACAUAGGCAUCCAAACACUUUCAAGUGUGCAAUACCUGGCUUUCUUCCUGUGUAGGCCUCAAAUGGUGUCAUUUUCUUAAGAGACUUAGAAGGACACCUGUUGAGAAGGUAGACUGCUGUAUGGACAGCUUCUGCCCAAAACUCAUAAGGAAGACUCUUUUCAUGUAGCAUAGACUUUGCCAUCUCAAUCACAGUCCUGUUCUUCCUCUUAACAACUCCAUUUUGCUGAGGGGAAUAUGCUACUGUCAGCUGUCUUUGUAUUCCAGCCUCACUGCAGUAUGCAAGGAAUUCAUUUGACAUGAAUUCUCCACCUCUGUCACUUCUAAGUGAUUUCACUUUGUGUCCACUCUGCAAUUCUGUCAUUGCUUUGAACUUCUUGAAACAUUCAAAAGCAUUAGAUUUAUUUCUGAGAAAAUAAACCCAAGCCAUUCUUGUAUAGUCAUCAAUGAAUAACAGGAAAUAUCUGUUUUCUGACAUUGAUGCAAUCUGCAUUGGACCACAGAUGUCAGUGUGAACUAAUUCAAGUGGAAACUGAGCUCUCCAAGUAGAUUCUGCAAGAAAUGAGUCUCUAUGCUGCUUUCCCAGCUUGCAGCCUUCACAAAUUGCAAAAUCCUUCUCCAGACUAGGCAGUCCAUGAACCAUGUCUUGAUUUGCCAACAUCCUGAUGCUUUGAUCAUUAAGAUGGCCCAGCCUUUUAUGCCAAGUCUGCAAACUGUGAGUCACACUUGCUCUCAGCACCAACUGAGUAGCAGGUACCAUUGUGAGAGAGAAACACCUAUUGCUAGUCAUUGGAACCUUAGCUAUAGGAUUUUGCAGCGACCAAUCAUCAAAAAUUGUCACCAUUCCCUUUCCAAAUACUAAACAAUACCCAUGUUCCAUCAUCUGACCAACACUGAGCAAGUUCUCUUCUAAACCAGGCACCAACAUCACUUCUUAAAUGUGUUUUCUGCCUGUCUUGGUUUCUAUCACAAGUGUACCUUUUCCUGCAACUUGAACUGUCUCUCCAGUCCCCAUUUUCACCUUGGAAGUUACAUCCCUUCGAAUAUCUAUCAGUAGCCUUUCAUCUCCAGUCAUGUGGUUGCUAUAGCCACUGUCCACAUACCAAGAAUUGUUCAAUUUCACAUCUGUCACAGCAUUGCAUGCAUAAAACAAUGUUCCAGUUUCUUCAACCUGAUUGGCAUAAUUCACCUUCUGCACAGGUUGGUUUCCAUGGCAAUCUCUAACCAUGUGACCAAACUUUCCACAUCCUCUGCAUUUUGGUUUUCCUUCAAACCAGCACUUGCCAUAGUGCAGUUUUUCACAGUGCUUGCAGGGUGUUUUAGUUCCUUCAUUUGAUGCAUUUGGUUUGGAAUUAGAGUUGGACUUGUUAUUCCAAUUCUUCCCAUUUUCCUUCCAGUUCUUCUGAGACUUGUUACCUCCAGAAGAACUUCCAUUCUUAGACCUUUUACUCUCUAUGUUUAGGGUAGUAAAAGCCUUUUCUGUGGAGUUUUCAGUGUGCCUAUCCAAUCUGAGCUCCAAUUUCUUGAGAGACGCAACCACUUCUUGAAUUUCAAGAGUGUCAAGAUCCUUUGAAUGCUCAAUCACAGAACAUAUAGAGUCAUAAGAUCUAGGCAAGCUAAUAAGCAAUUUCUGCACAACUCUUUCUCUAGGUAACUCUUCACCAUAACUUUUCAUUUGAUUAAUUAGAUCAAACGGUUUAGCUACAUAACCAGAGAAUGACUCACUAUCCUUCAUACGAGUGUAUUCAAACUCUCUACGUAAGCCUUGUAGUUUCACACUUCGUACCUGUUUAUCGCCUCUAAACUCCUGCUUCAGAAUAUCCCAUGCACCUUUUGAGGUUUCCUCAUUCACUAUUCUGGAAAAAAUUUGGUCUGAGACUGCACCUUGGAUCAGUCCAAGUGCACGAGCAUCUUUCAUCAAAAUCUCAGCCGAUGUAGACUUCUCUUCUUCAGCAGCUUUAGAUCCUUCUUCCUUUCCUUUUUCCUUCAUUGGAUCUGAAGCAUCAAAGCCAUUUUCAACCAAAUCCCACAGUCCAUGAGAUUUCAGAAUGGUCUUCAUUCGAAUGCUCCAAAACUCAUAGUUUUCUCCAUUGAACACUGGUGUACGAAACUCAGAAGAGCUUGAUACUGCCAUGUUAGACAUCAGACGCAGCUAGAAAGGCUUCGUGAAAUUUUGAGUGAGCUCAACGUCAGCUCAGCCAAGCACCAGCUCGAAUGUCACAGAUUCACGCCCAAUAAACAAUCAAACCUGGCUCUGAGGCCAUGUUAGAAUUCUCAGUUUGUAUGUGUAUUUUCAGAUUAGGAAGAGGUGCUCGUUCUAGAGCAUUUUGCUAGAGAGAGUGAAGAGAAAAAUAGGAAUGCACUGUUCUAUUGAAUUCAGCAAAUUCUGCAGCACACAUAGUGUGACUGACAGAGAGAGAAGUGUGAUUCUCUCUAACAGAAUUACAGCUGUCACCCUAUUAGGUGAUUACACAUGUCAUACCAAAUCUAAGCUAGAGAAUCCACCUAGACUAUGAUCUAAUGGUUCUCAUUACAUCAUUUAAAUAGACUUAGCAGGAAAACAAAAAAUAGAAGAUGACUUCAGCUCUAGGAAAUCUGCAGAAGGAUUAUAUUUCAACAGAUAGUAUAUGUAACGCAGAAUUUCUUUGCGAUGCUCUGCUGGGAAUACAGUAUUAAGAUGCCCUAUAAUGUAUGUACACAUGACCUGAAAAAAAAAGAAUUCAAAAGGGAAAAUUAGUAAAACGCUCCAAAAUUUUAGUAAAAAACUCUAAUAAAUAACUGUAAUUAUAAGGAAAUUAGAAAUUAUACACUCACCAAAGGAGGAAGGAAAAACAAUGGGCCAGCAUUUUCAGCAGGCCAAUGGCCAUCACUUGCCUGCAUGGCUGAUAAGAAGUGAACAGAUAUUCUCAGUGAGGCUGUUGCCUUUUCAUAUGUGAUUUCCUCGCCAUCCUCAACCUUUACUGGGGGAAUUGUCUGCUUGAAGUUCUUCUCUUUUAGGAACUGCAGUUUAGUGAACAGAGGAGAGGAUUAACAUUGGUAUUAGAGAAAAAGUAAGUUAAUUCAUGAUGCUGAUUACAGUCGGGUGCUAAGUUUUGGAGGCCCUAGCCCUAGGCCAACCACCAAAAUGUGACCUUAUGUUAUGUUUUUUUGGAUACGUAGAAAAAAAUUAUAUGAACUCAAAGUCACAAUUGUAAUCUAAAAGAAACAAACAAAAUUUAAUUCACAUAAAAACUUUAUAAAAUACAUCAAAACAUCACUUAAAUAUCACCUUUUUUUUUGGGACGAAAUCACUUAAAUAUAACUCUUCUUACAUUUUUCGAUGCAAAAAGUAUCAAUCAACUUUACAUAAUGAAGUUUUUCUAUCAUGUCUUUUUCAAUAUCUAUAUAUAUAAAGCAAAGGGCAGAGAAUGAUGAAACAUUCAAAAUACCAGAAAAUGCCCUUGAUUAAUUCAAAUAUUAAAAUUUUAAAAUAUUAAUUAAAUGAGGAUAAUAUGGUAAAUUCAAAAUUUUAUAUUAAAAAAAUUAAAAUUAAAAACAAAAUCAAAUAAUAAGUUCUACUUUUAUAGAACAUAACUACCUAUAUUAUUUUUUCUUAAUUAAAAAAAUAAAAAAAAAAAUAAAAAAAUAAAAAAAUAAAAAAAUAAAAAGAAAACCAAUUGACACAUGCGCAAGAGGCUAGUAAAAUAUAAAGCAAUAGUCUUGUAGGUUUUUACCUUCUUGUUCUUCCUCCAAGAACACUUCCUCUUGCAGUACAUAUAUUAACUCAUUAAACUUUUUAACUUUUUUAAAAAUAAUAAUAAUUGGUCCUUUAUUGAGUUUCCUUUUCUAAGUUUUAGAGUAGAUAAUUGGGCUUUUUAAAAAACAAUACUUGCGCUUAAUAUAAUAUCAAUACAGUACAAAAGUAACAUACAUACAUAUAUAUAUAUAUAUAUAUAUAUAUACAGAGAGCUUCCAUUGAGGGAUCCCUCAAAUAAUUAUUUGAGGGACACCCCUUGUAGGCCCCACUCCGGAUUGUAUUUCACUAAUCCAAACCGUCUAUUUUGUAGAUACUCAUUCAAAGAUCAUCCCUACAAAAAAUCACUUGAAUCCGAUAUCAUUUGACCACUCAAUUAAGUUAUUGAAAUUUUAGCAUUUUCUUGAAGUACCGUGUUCAUUGAUUUUGUAAGACACAAUUGGAUGUCGAAACGGUUUCCAAUUUGUCUAAUUUUUUGUUAGGAUGAUCUAUGAAUGAAGACCUAAAAAAUAGAUGGUUUGGAUCAUUGGGAAAAAAAUUGUAGGGUACCCUAAAGGGCGUCCCUCAAAUAAUUUUAUUUAAGGGAUCCCUCAAUAGAAGGGGACUGUAUAUAUAUAUAUAUUGGCUUUAAAAAUUGGGGGCCUUAGACGACCGCCUUACCCGUCUAUCCUCUAGGUGAUUAUAGAACAAACUUAUGAGUGCUAAUUAAAAACAAGAAAAAGUAUUCAAAGCUGACAGGUUUAAAGCUAACUAUUUGUCUAGUUUUAUUUUUAUUUUUUUUCCUUAUUUUACUUUUAUUUUUUAAUAAGAUACUAGCCCCUUGGCACAUGCUUGCCAAUUGGUUUUUUUUAUUUUUUUAUUUUUUUAAAAUUAAGAAAAGAUAAUAUGGGUAGUUAUAUUCCAUAAAAAUAGGACAUAUUAUUUGAUUUUGUUUUUAGUUUUAAUUUUUUUUAAAUGAAAAAAAUGUGAACUUACCAUAUUAUCCUCAUUUAAUUAAUAAUUUUAAUUCUAAAUGUUUGAAUUAACCAAGGGUAUUUUUUGGUAUUUUGAAUGUUUCACUGUUCUCUACCUUUUGCUUUGUAUAUAUAGAUGAUAUCAAGUUUGAAACCCUUUUCAAGAUUUUUAUAAUAAUUUAAUAAUAAAAACCAAGCCAAACAUACACACAGUCAUGUUCUCUUGCUAAACUUAAGUCUAAAGAGAACAUUACCAAGUACUAACGAAAUUAAGUGGAUAAAUACCUGCAAACGCCAUAGGAGGUCACUGCUAGGCUUGACCUGAUAGCGAUUAUUGUAGAAAUUAAGACGAGCUUCUUCCACCUCGGCUCGCUCUUCUGGAGUUCCUGCCUCGGCAUCAAACUCAAAUAUAUGCCUCCCCACAAAGUCGUUUGUGCUGUAGAUGUAAGGGUCAUUCCCUCCAUCUGCAACCUUAAGCUUCCACAUUCUUCAAAUAUAUAUAUAUAUAUAUAUAUAUAUAUAUAUAUAAAGCUAUAUAUAGCUACCAACUGCUGUUCUACCUUGAUAUCAAUCUUCUCAGUAAGAACCUGUUUCAUGCAUCUGCAAUGUAUAAGUCACAAUUAAUUCACCAUAAAGAUGUGCUAGGUAGCUUGGUGAAUAUAUACAUACAAAGGAUCCCCUGGCUUUCCAUAUUUUGUAAAUGUAUCAAUUGUUGUAUAUAUAGUGUGUACAGAUAUUUAAGAGAGAGAGAGAAACCCCGUACGUGCAGUUUGCAGUUUGCAAAGAAGCUGCAGAAACCGUAUUGUAGAGUUUGGUUAUAUAGCUAUGAAUGAAAGAGAGGCGGGGCUGGCCAGCUAGCUAGCUCAUAUAUAUAUAUAUAUAUAUAUAUAUAUGUGUGUGUGUGCGUGUGUUGUAUAUGUAUGGUUAAUGCGCACACAGAGAGAGAGAGAGAGAGAGAGAGAGAACCUCUAGUGCAGUUUGCAAAGAAUAUUGAAUUUGGUUAUAACGAGAUUAAAUGCAGGAGAACUUUAUAGACAAAACAAACAAUAUGAGGUAUAUAUGACAUGCCAUGUGAUGUUAUUGUUUUUGGUCUUUGGUAAUUAAGCUGAUCAGCUAUACGUCAUUUUUUUCAACGAAGUCGGCAUUUACCCAUUGCUGCUAUUGCCACGGCCAAGCCACCACAGAUCCCUUAAUUACGUGAAUGGCUUGAUUUGAUAGACUGGUGAUCUUGUGAGAGGGGUUUCUCAUACAUACUGUGGGAGUGAUUUUCGUCCACGAGAAUAUUCAUCUAAGAUUCCGCCUUCCUCUUCGUUGUCUCUUUCUCCCUGCAAAAUAAAUCGGAAUAAGAGGAUCACACCCGGGGGGUGUUGGCCAAAGGCCCGCCAAUGCCUAAGUUAGUUCAAUUGAUUUGUGGAGAAACAAUAGCUAAAAAAGGUACGGAGAUAUAUGUAUGGUGUGAACCGGGCAGCCGGAGCCUUGAGAGAGAGAGAGAGAGAGAGAGAGAGAGAGAGAGAGAGAGAGAGAGAGAGAGAGAGAGAGAGAGGAGGCGGCGAGGAGGGUAUUUUUGCAGAGGUUUGGCAGCUUAGAAUGGCUUACCUCAUGCCUUGCAUGGCCUUGUACUUAUAGAGCCUCAUAGAGUUAGGAUUUGGAGAAAAAUAAUCCUUGUUGGGAAAUGAAUUAUUUUUCUGAUUUUAGGAGAUUUAAAUCAAUUAGGGAUUUAAUGAGAAACAAAUCCCUAAUUCAAGGCAAGAAUCCCCAACUGGAAGGAAAUAUUUGACCUAGGGUUUUGCUAAAAUUCGGUUCCCACAAAUGCCCCCCCCCCAGCUUUUGCAUGGUGCGCGGUGGCAUGUAGGAGAUGUUGAUUGACUGUUAGACUGAGCUUCCUUCUUGGAUUUGGGAUCCUGAGUGGAUGAGGUAUUCCCAAUUGGAGUGGGCUUCUAACUAUUCUUGGAGUUGGAUUCCCAGUAGGAAUAUGCUUGCGAUUCUUUCUUGACCUAGGAUGCCCAACCUGUAUAAAUGCAGAACUUUUCUUCACUUUUCUUCGUAUCGCAAACUUAACUUCUCUACUUUCUACCUUGAGAGAGAUCUUGUAGAAUUUAUACUGCUUGUCAAAGAGAGGAGUUGCCAUGCAUCCCAAGGGAAGUCGAGCAUGUAUAUUUUUUCUUCGUCUUAUCUUUUUUUGUGGCAACAACCAGUUGGGGGAAGCCCGACUGGUUGUCAUCGUGACAGGUGAUGGCUGGCUGUGGGCGGCAGCAGUGAUGGAGUAGGUGCUCACAGGUGGGCCAGCUACUGCCUAUCGUUGCAGAUCUAGACUGGAGCGUGCUGAGCCUCAUGAAUUGCGGGCUGCGUCAACUGAGCAAGUAUCGGGAGGAAGUUGGUGGUAUACCCACUGCCCAAGAUGUAUAGAGUUGGAAGCAGAAUGGUCCAUACUCUGAUGAUUUGCCAGUUGGGUAAGAGGAGUGUUCUGUCAGACUCUCUUGAAAAAUGAAGGCUAUUGCCAAGUCUUCAAGAGAUGAAACUGCUUCUUCGCAGGUGAAAAAUGUGUCACUGUUGAGGAAGAAGCCAAAGAUCCCUUCUAUUGAGAAGACUAAAGUAGGAGCUGUUCCCCUGUCAUCAGUUAGGGUUAAACAUCUCGUUGGUGCAGAUAACAAGUAGAUUAGACAUAUGCGCAAUAUUCGGGAUGUUUUACUCAAGCCUCAUGCUGACAAGCUUGGAGACCGCGAUCUGCUAUAUGAAGUAGUCUGCACACAAACUAGUUCACUGCUGAAAGGCAAAGAGAUGUUGAUAUUCCUCUCUGAGGUUCAAGUCGUCUGCACCAGUGAAAGGAUGAAGAUAGAACUGGAAAGUCUGCUCAUCCGCCCAACCAUCAGGUUCCAGUUGUUGAGUCACAAGCAGUAAAGCAUGAAGUUGAUUCAGCUUUGUUGACGCAUUUAGAGGUGAUGAUGGCGGCAGCUAAGAAGACGAGAGAUGCAUCUACCCGGGCGAAGGGUUCUUCUGGCGUGUCUAGACCUACAGGGGAUGCAUGCGUGUCUGAUUUGCUGAAGACAAACUUACUGUCAAGCCCGUCUACUUGCUUCAAGUUGGUUGAUCAUAUCCAUUAGGCUAGCGAUCUUGAUACCUUCUCAAAUAUUUCCUUGAAAAACAAAGGGAAGAAAUAUCAUCUGCUUCAAAAAGAAGUAGUUUUUGCUGCUGAAGCUAUUCGGAACUCGUUUGCUGAAGGAUCCAAGUUCGAACCUACCAUGGAUGUGUAUAAGCUGGGCUACUUGGACUGCAAAAAUGAAAAUAAUCCCUUCUGUGCCAUUUGAGAUUGAGACAUAGAGAUGCUCUGUCCUGACUUGCUCCAAAUGCAAAGUGAGCAGGUUAAUGCUGUAAACAUGGAAGGAGCUGAAGAGUAGGUGGCCGAAGAUGCGGUAGUUGAAGAGGAUGGAGCAGAGUUGGAUGCAGCUGAUGAGGUGGUAGCAGACGUCGUGGAUCCGGCAGGUGGAGCUGCUGAAAUCAUGGCUGAUCAGGCGGAUGUCGAAGAUGCUACAGAUUAGGGAUCUCUUGCCAGCGUCUCGGAGUAGAUGAAGACUCUUUUAUUUCUUUUCAGCUUUUGUAAUCUGCUUUUUGUUUGUUUUGAAUAAUUGGUCUUGUUGGACUAUCUUCUUUUUGUUGAACUUGGCCGGUUGGUCAGCUUUCUAUGGAAAUUUCAGUUAUUUUUUCAACUUCAAUUUGCAUAUUGACUUAUGAAUUGCUAGAGUAACCAGCCCGUAUCUCGAUCGUGUAUCUCCCUUAGGAAAUUUAUAUGUAUCAGGGUCCCCCUUGAGGGACUCCAAGCAUAUUCUGCAUAUCCCGUAGGAUAUUUUUCCCUAGGAAGUUGACAAGUGCCAGGGUCCCUUUUGAGGGACUCCGGACAUGUUCUGCAUAUCCCGUAGGAUGCUUUCUCUUAGGAAGUCGACAAGGGCCAAGUUCCCUCUUAAGGGACUCCGGGCAUGUUCUGCAUCUCCCGUAGGAUGCUUUCUCUUAGGAAGUCGACAAGGGCCAGGGUCCCCAUUGAGGGACUCUGGGCAUGUUCUGCAUCUCUCGUAGGAUGCUUUGGUCAUUGCCCUGCCCCCUUUAGGAAACCAAUAGGAACCUGGAUACCUCUCUCAGAAAGCAUGGAGACCUCCUUUAGGAAAUUCCUUCUUUGGAUAGGAAACGGAUAGGUCCUGUCUGCUUUCGAACUUUCUUUCUUUUUGUUGACCAGCUUCUCUUCUUCGGUUGAUGGGGUGAAUUCUGCGAUGAAGUCUGCUAAAGCCUUGGCUUUUAUUGUAAUUUUUGGCUAGUAAAUGAGGUCGUAUUGGCUUAGUUCUAUAGCUCACUUCAUGAGUCGCUGAGAAGCGUCGAGGCUGGGGAGGAUUGAUCUCAAAAGAAAGUCGAUCAUGACGAUGACUCGGUUAGCUUCAUAGUAGAGUCGCAGUUUUCUCGCAGAAACUACAAUGGCCAAAAUGAUCUUAGCCAAUUUCGGGUAGCGAGUCUCUGCAUUGAGGAGAGCUUUUGAUGUGUAGAUUACCGGAUGUCGGGCCCCUAGUUAUUCUAGGAUAAGAGCUGAGCUAACGACCAAGUUGGAUACUGCCAGGUACACGAAUAAGUCUUCACCAAGAACUAACUUUGAGAGAAUGAGAGAUGAAGUGAGGUAAGUCUUUAGAUUCUAGAAAGCUACUUCGCACUCCUCAUCCUACUUGUCUUUUUUAUCCUUUCUUCAAAGCUUUGAAGAAUAAUCUGCACUUGUCGAUAGAUUUCGAGAGGAAUUUGUUGAGGGCUGCUGCUCUGCCAGUCAGACUUUGUAUUUCCUUCACUGUGAAAGGUGACUUCAUCUCGAGAAUGACUUUGAUUUGGCGUGGGUGUGCCUCGAUACCUAGUUGUGUGACUAGAUAUCCCAAGAAUCGGCCGGAUGAUACACCGAAUAUGCUUUUACUUGGAUUCAGCUUCAUGUGAUACUAGCGGAGCAAGCUGAAUGCCUUGGCGAGGUUUUUCAUAUGGUUCGCAUGUUUGGGGGUUUUGACCAACAUGUCAUCCACGUAGACUUUCAUGGUUUUGCCGAUUUGCUCCUUAAAGAUAUUAUUCAUGAGCCUCUGGUAGGUUGCUCCGACGUUCUUCAGCUCAAAAGGCAUAGCCUUGUAGCAGUAGGUCAUUCUCUCAAUGAUGAAAGAUGUCUUCGCCUUGUCAUCCUCAUGCAUCAGGAUUUGAUUAUAGCCAAAGUAGGCGUCCAUAAAGCUAAGUAGUUGAUUGCAGGAAGUAUAAUCCACGAGCUGCUCGAUUCUCGGCAAUGGGAAGUUGUCUUUAGGAUAUGCUUUGUUGAGGUCAGUGUACUCCAAGCAAACUCUCUAUUUCCCAUUUUCUUGUUUUGCCACUAGAACAACGUUGGCUAGCCACUCCGAGUAGGAGACCUCUUUGAUGAAGUCGGCAAUUAGGAGCUUGUCGAUCUCGGCUUCUGCUCCACUGGCUUGUUGGCAGGGUUGACAUAGAGCCGGGGGCAGAUGAUGUUCGAGUUGAUGUCAUGUAUGUCAAAUGGCGACCAUGUGAACUUAUCUUUGUUGUUCUAGAGGAAGAUGGUUAGCUCCACCUUCUCAUCUGGGCUUAGCCACUAGCCGAUCCGCGCUUUUGUCUGGUUGGUCAGCAUUCAAGUGUAAUAGCUCGACGUCAUCUUCAGGUUUCCAUCAUUCUUCAGGAGAGACCUCCGAACGAAUUCCCUCGGCUUGGUCCUGAUACUUUGAUUGCUAUAAGAGGUAGCUAUUCCCUUUCCUUUCUUGCCUGCUCGGUUGCUAGGAGAGAGAUCUGUUUGCUGUACUCCUCUCCUGCCUGACUCAUAGGGAGGAAUUGUGUUUGCUUACUUUUCUUCAGGCCUUGAGCCAUGCAUUUCCUCACCAUUGCUUGAUCAUUAUUGAUCUGGGCGACACAGCCCUCAGGGAUUGGAUAGCGGAUUUUCUGAUGUGUGGCAGAGUGAUGGCAUUGACUUGCCGAUCCAUGGUCUGCCCAGAAUGCCUUUGUAGGGUGAAACUUCAUCAAUGACCAUGAAUGUUUGCGAGCUCUAUCAUGCCCACGGUAACUGUUGUUGCGUCAUUGAAGCCAGUCAAUAACCUAGCUGAUUUGUGGAUCUUUGUCUCCAAGCCCUCGUAUGCAUGGAUUCGGUCGACCAUUGCCUGAACGAUUUGAGUGCUGAUGACAAUAGCAUCGUUAUGUGGCAUAUCAAGGUUGAUUAGAUCUUUCUUUUGGAAGUCGAUCACGGGAUCAACAUUUGCUGGUGGAAGGUCGGUUUGAUCUUCGUCUUCCUUUCUUUGCUGGUCAGCCCAGACUCCUUAGAGUCGGCUAAGAUUAUGUUAAUCCUUAUGACCUUCUAGGGUGGCUCAUUAGCGGUAUUGCGGUCCUCAAUCUAUUAGAUGACCUGCUUCGCAAUGAAUUUCGUGCAGUGACCUUCUCUCACAAGUUCUUCGAGGUGCGCUUUCUAAGCAAAGCAGUUAUUCGUAAUGAGCCCAUGCGUCCCUUGGAAGACACAGUAUUUUCUAGUAUCUCUUUUCUGGAUCUCCUUUUAAGGGCAGCGAUCUUCAUACCCAAGGUUUGUCCUUCACUUGGACAAAGAUUUGAUGUAUGGGGAUGGAGAACUUGGUGUAGUUCUCUUCUACCGUAGCGUCUCCUUGUGGGUGCAACCUACGUUUGCCCUUGUUCUUGUUGCUAAACCUGUCGCUUCUUUGGCCUGUUCGCUUGGUUGGCUGAUUUUCCUGCUUGGUAGACUUCUUCGCGGUGAUUUGAUAGUCAUCCCAGAGCGAGUAACGUUAUGCGGUCGGGAAGACCUCUACCAAAGUCUGGUUAUGAGUGAUAAUCAGCUUGUGAUAUAAGUCGUGCUCAGUUGGAAGACCUUUCUUGAAAGCAGAAGACGCGAUUCGGUCAUUGCAUCCUAUAAUAUUGGGCUUUUCUGCUUUGAAUCUCUUAAUGUAAUCUCGAAGGGAUUCAUCAGACUUCUUGGCAGGUUGUAGAGGUGGUCAGGUUCUUCUUGAUCGUUCGGUAAGAAGUGUAUUCUUUGGUUAAGACGUAAGCUAGCUCCUUUAAGCUGUUGAUUAACCCGGAUGGUAGGGUGUGGAACUAGUCUUGGGCUACUCCUCGCAAGGUCAUUGCAAACACCUUGUACAUUAGCGCGUCGUUGGCCUUAUAGAGGAUCAUAACACUUUUGAAGUGUUUUAAGAUGGCUCUCGGGAUCUGAAUUCUCUUUGAAAUGCGUGAACAAAGGCGUUGGGAAUCGCUUCGGGGGAGCAGCCUUCUCGAUUUCAGUGGUGAAAGGCGUAAGUUUGCUUGGUCCACCUCUCAGCGUAGAGUAUCUUCGAAAUUUGUAAUCUUUAAGUUUCGAAGUCGGUCGUUUACAAGCUUCUCGAUGUCUUCCGCGCGCAUGGCUUGCCGAUCACGUUGGUGACCUUCGUGAUUCGGGCGAGGAUGGUUGAUUUCCAAGUUGACUCGCAGAGGUCGACUUCCUUGGUUACGUUGCCUAUGGAACAGAUUAAUAGAUUGAGUUUGCACAGAUUCCUGCACGAGUUGUCGUCAUGAGUUAGUUCUCGAGCGGGUUGGUGAGCGCCGAUAGUUGUGUUCGUCAUGCAGUCGUUUAGACUUGUGCCCCUUGUGGCCCAACCUAGAAUGGAUAAAUGUCCAGAAUACCCCUCUUACCCUUAACCGCAAAAUGUAAAACACACUUAAGGGUUUAACUUCUGUCGGAAAACCGAUAUAAUUUCCCCUAUAAAACAUACAUUUCCCAAAAAAAUUUCCACUUGUAAAAAUAUAUAGUUAAAAUUGAAAUUCAAAUCCUAAUCGUUCAACAUGCAUUAGAUAAAUAACUUUAAAUAGUUUCAAACCUCUUUAUACCAAAUAAAUCAUUCUGCCAUCUGAAAUUGGUUACAACUCUUAGAAUAACAUGAAUACGUUAUCAAGUUUCAAUAUAACUUAACUGAACAAAUUUUCAACACUUGAUCUUGUGGCUGCACCUAGUAACUCUAGGUUGCCUACGUACCCUUACUAAGGGAUCAAGCCAUACGUAGUUCUUUCUACAUAAAUUAUAAGUAAACAUAGGUAACUUAAUCAAAUAAAAUCGAGAAACCUUCAUAAGUAAUUCCAAUCAAUCCGCUGAAACUCAAGCAAGGGCUAUUGAUUUCAGAACAAUCUUCCACUCCUUUCACAUGUGCAUAUAUAUAUAUAUAUAAUUGAUUUAUUACUUACAAGUAGGAAAACGUUAAAAUUAUUAAAAUAGCAUUGACCAUGUGAAACUUUAAUGUCAAUAUCAACAAUUUAACUAAAAUAUGUUUCCCUCUUUCACAUGUAAAAACAAAUUCAUCACUUAAGAAAAGACAUUGGAAAAGGCCAAAGGAGAGAGAAAUUUUUUAAAAGAAGCCAAAAUGGACAAAAUUGCCCUUAUUUAUUUUUGGAUUUCCUAAGGAAUCCUUUACAUUUGCAUGUCUUUGGUUUUAAAGUUGAGAGGUUUUUCUGUCUUUUUUGAAAAAGUUUUGGCUUUUUCCAAAAAUGAAAGUUUUUUUGUGGCUAAAACCUAAAUUUACUUUUAGUUUAAAACAUCUCAAAACUCAAACACUCUCCACCUAGGCAUACCCCUAUUUUUGAUCCGUCAAUUCUACUAAUAUUCCAUCAAUACUAAUAAUAUUCCGUCAAUUCCAAUAAUAUUUCUUCAAUUCCAAUUGUCACAUAAGCGACACAUCCUCGCAAGCCUCGAAAACACAAAGUCAACCCGAGCCACAUUCCUUGCAGAACUCGGGAGACACAUAGUCAGCCCGAGUCAGCCCGAGAAUGCACAUCCUCACAGAACUCGGGGGACAUGUAGUCAGCCUGAGAACGCACAUCCUGACCAAACUCGGGAGACAUGUAGUCUGCCCGAGAAUGCAUAUCCUCACACCAUACGGUUCAGGCGUUCCCGAAACUCGUGACGCAUAGUCAUAAAUGACAAAACUGUUUCAAAGGCAACUGGGGGGUAUUCCUGUGGGGGGUUUGAAAAUCAUAUUCCGAAACUUAUCAUAAACUUUCCCUUAUUUCACAAAUCCAUUUUCCAAAUCUUCUAUCAACUUUCUAAAAAAAUCAGUUCUCAACUACAUUUAAAUAAUCCAAUAUCACUCAGUCAUAUACUUUAAUAAUAAUACUAAAUUAUGUAAAAAUAUUAACCCUUAGUGAUCCCAUAUCCUUAUUAACCCAAAUUGAAUUAAAUUUUAAUCAAAACUCACUUAUGCAAGAAAUUCCAUAUUAAAAUAGCGAAGUACACUUAAAAACAAACGUCUACUCAUUUCUUAAUAAAUAUAGCCGAGACCCACGACUCACAUUCAUAACCCACCAAUCAAGAAUUUCAUGCUCAUCUAUUCCAUAACUUCAAUUAUCAAAAUAAUGUCCAAGAAUUCCAUAAGAUACUAUAAAACAAUCUCAUAAUUCCAACAUAAUCAAAAUAACUCAAAUAAUAGUCAAGACUUGUUUACAAGGUCGUUCUAGUACUUCUUCUAGUACUUCUUGAAGGGUAGAACUACCUCAGAAGACUCACGGUCAAUCAAGGGGUCAAACUGCCCAAACUUGGUCAACAUGCGACAUUUGGUUUCGGAUCUGACAGUUCCUACGGGUUCAACAAGGUUGACCAUACAUUUUAUUCAAGUUUGGUUCAAAAUGAACAGUCAGAUCACUCGCGAUCGAACGGUUAUCGUUUACCACAACCUUUAAAUCAUUGAAUUGGCGCAUCCGGGUCUCCGAUUCACAAUCUGCGAAUCCCGACACGAUUCUAGAGAUGCCUAGAUCAACAUAUAUGAAAAUGGAGUCAAUCCAACAGUCUGAACAUAUCGAACCCGAAUAACGCCCAAUAUGCGAUAUCUGAUCGACAGUCAAACGAUAACCAAAUUCAAUUUUUAGUAUAUAGUCGUGCUCGAGAUGACAUGGGCAUCAUUUUAGGACUCAAAGACUAUCCACAAAGUGGCCCAGCUCGUGGGUGUCCAUCGUAAUUUCGUUGGGCAACUUUUGCUCUUGGACCAUGGCCAAAAAGUGAUCAGAACUUGCCGGAAACACGAGCCGAAACUGGCUGAAACUUGAAGCAAUAAUUUGAGUUUCAAAACGCAGAAAUUGAUCAUAGUCAUCCCAACCAUUAGCUAUAACACAUUGAGAGGAUGAAAAUGCAUACCUAGAUCGAAGAAAUUGGUAGCCGGAAUCACCCGAACAAAUUUCAGGAAGUUAUGGGUUAAACUGUUUGAUUUUUCGCCCUUUUCGUCGGCGGUGGCUGGUGGCUGGGGCAGCGGGAGCGGUGAAGGAUCAAGAUGGAGAGAGGAGAUGAUGAUGGUUCUUGUGGGAUCGAUGCCACCCAAAAUGGUGGCCGGAUGCGACGGUGGUGACCCAAAAAGCCACCAGAUGAAUAGUGACAGCAAUAGGGGGUUUUGCGCACAGGAGAGAGAGAGAGAGAGAGAGAGAGAGAAUAAAAAUAUGGGUUUUAAAAAAUUGAUGUUUGAAAUAUUUACGGUUAUGCCACUGGACUUCUGUAGAUCAUAACUUCUUCGUUAUAACUCCGAUUUGAGCCUAUUACGUGUCUACGAACUCAUCUCAACGUACUCUACAUAAUGUUACUACUAAAAUUCCUAAAUUCUUUCCCAAACAAAAAGUUAACUUUUAAACCCAUUAAAAUAUUCUUGAAGUAAAAUUGUCUUUUACUAGAAUAAUUUAAUAAUUAAAUAAUAAUUUAGGAUCGGGUUAUUAUUGUUGGUGAGUCCUUACUUAGUUAGGAUUUUGGUUCCUUAUUUCAUUAGAAUUUUGGUUACUUACCAAUUAUUAUUUAGUCCUUUUGUAAUAGAGAUUUACUUCAUAUUGUAAUUUAGAUAUAUUUCCUAUUUUAUUUUGGGUUAACACAUCUUUAUACUUGUAUAAAUACCUCCAUAUUGGAGAAGAAUAAUAAUAUGAGUGUAUCUUAGCAUAACUGAAUAUUUGCCAUACUUUGUUUUAACAUGGUAUCAGAGCCAGGUUCCUAACCUGUGAUAACCUCUGCCAAAUUGAGAGUCGUUAGCACUCCUCAUACUUAACCCAUCAUGGGUCUUCAUCUUGUAUAGUCAUCUUCUUUUGUUCAAUCUUCUUAUACGUGUUUUCACCGCCCCUAGCCUUCACAUGCUUCUUUGCUACUUUUCAAUUUUUUAUUUUUUAUUUUUCAUCUUUGUAUGCCAGAUGGUCUUUUUUGUUGUCCCAACUUCUCUAUAUUUGAAACUUCAUAACAGGUCUCUUUACUCCAUGAGCCUCGUCACUGCUCACUGAGCCGUUGCUUUCCUCCGCGAGCCUCGUCACCGCUCGCUGAGCCUUUCCUUUGACUGUUCUGUCGGUCUCUGUCUUCUUUGGCUGCUCUCUUGAGUUGCCUUUCCCCAUCUCAGUUUUGAGCACCCUUUAUCUGUUUCUCUCUUUGCUCUAUUUAGCUCUCUUUUAUUUAUGUUUAUCUCUUUUGUUUAUCUAUGCCCAAUGGCUGGUGUUUGUUGUGUUCUUUCCCCACGCCAUCUCUCCGUCUUUGUCACUCUAGCCUUUCCUGUUGGGUGUUUAUUAUUUAUUUUUCUAUCUCCUUCCCUUUUACCCUUAUGCUUAUUUCUUUCUACUUUUGGCCUCUUUCUAAUAUUCAUCCCUUUCUCUGUCUGUCUAUUUCCUCACAGACACCUUCCUUUGUCAUUAUUUUCCUUCAAUCAUAGCAUUAUCCUCUCUUUUUUUCGGUUCUAGCACCUCACUUUCUUCCACUAGUUUCUUUUUAAAAAUUGUCACAUGCAAUUUCCCAUGCUUUACUUUUUUAAUAUCUUUAGUUUCUUCCUCUUUGAUCUACCGAUGCAGUUUCCCCUGCUAUGUAGCCGAACUCUUUUCAGGUCCUCUCUAUUUCUCAUAUUUCUUUUACUAACCUUUUCCAUUUUGUUGUUCUUUCACUGCAUUAUCUCUCGCUUUCACAGUUCCCUUAUAUAAUUUUGGUUCCCUUUGAUGGGCACUCUAUCUAUUCCUAUUCCACACAUGAAGGGUUUCCUUGUUUCUGUGUCCUUUGCUCUAAUUCCCAUUUGAGCACCUUAUCUUUGUCUUUGUCUCUGUUCAUGAUUUGCUGGGUUUCCUUCCUUACUGUUCUUAUUUUCUGAAGUUUUUUUUUCAUGGGACAGCCGUAUGCUACCACCUUUCCCUCUUGCAUUUGUUUCUGCCACGAGACUGGCAUGUUUGAGUCUCUUUACUAUUAUUUAAUUUCUCUUCUUCCAAAUCUCGACCCUUUACCAGUGUCAGAUUUGAUGGGGGAGAUAGAUGCAACUUUAUUUGGGUGUUGCAACUUUAUUCGAUGUUGCUUUCUUCAAAUCUCAACUCUCAUACAUCAUCGGAUUUGAUGGGGAGUGACAUCGCUGCUCAUAUAUUCCGCUGCAAUUCAGCUACUUAUUUGCCAUGGCUGAUUCUUCUACAUCUGAGUGUCAGUCAGCUUCUGUUUCUUAAGUGCCACUUAUCUUAUGGUUUCGAUGACCCCUUCUCUUCAGGGGGAGAGGGGGAGUGAAGAUAAGUUGUCUGUGCAAUAAUGGAAGUAUUUGUCAUUGUUAUUGCUGCUGACUACUAUGUCCUUUGCUGGUGCCAGUACCGUUGCUCAUCCCUGUUAUGUCUCUUGCUGGGGACAAUGUUAUUGCUCCUACCUAUUAUGACUCUUGCUGGGGACAAUGUUAUUAAUCAUGCCUAUUAUGACUCUUACUGGGGAUAAUGUUGAUUACUCUUGAUGAUGCCUGUUAUGUCCCUGCGUUGUUGCUCUUGCUAGUGCCAGUGCCUUGUAUUGCUGUUGUUGGUACCAGUAUUGCUGCUUCUGCCUGUUAUGGUGCCAGUAUUGUUGCUCAUACCUUUGCUGGUGUGUUUCCGUUGUGGUCAAGCCCGUUGACCUUGCCUUUGCUCUUGACUUUCUUUGCCUUGCCUUACCCUAUUUUUUUAGGGUUUUUUUUUGCCUUACCUACCUCCGUGCUCACAGGGUUUCUGUGUUACAGGGGCUCACAGGGUUUCUGUGUUCUGCCUUACCUACUGUCGUACUCACAGGGUUUCUGUGUAAGGCAUUGUCGUGCUCACAGGGUUUCUGUGUUCUGUCUUACCUAUUGCCGUACUCACAUGGUUUCUGUGUUCUAUUAUGUGCCCUAUUUUUUAAUGUUUGCUCUUGUGUUUUCACUGCGAACUAUGCUUUAGUUUGUCACUUGUUUCACUCAUGGUUGACGAAAAGACCUUCCCUACAAUUGGUGCUUCUCAAAUAUGGUGUUCUGUGACUCGCUUGUCAAGUUGGGCGUGCGAAAUAUCUUUGCCCAACUUGAGGGGGAGUGUUGGCGAGUCCUUACUUAGUUAGGAUUUUGGUUCCUUAUUUCAUUAGAAUUUUGGUUACUUACUAAUUAUUAUUUAGUCCUAUUGUAAUAGAGAUCUACUUCCUAUUGUAAUUUAGAUAUAUUUCCUAUUUUAUUUAGGGUUAACACAUCUUUGUACUUGUAUAAAUACCUCCAUAUUGGAGAAGAAUAAUAAUAUGAGCGUAUCUUAGCAUAACUGAAUAUUUGCCCUACUUUAUUUUAACAUGGAAAUUGGGCAUCUACCCUUACCCAAUAUGUGGUGUUCACAUGUUGGGCUUAAAUGUUUACCCCUACCUUUUACCUAAUACGUGAUGCUCACAUGUUGGGCUUGAAUGAUUGACUCCGAUGUGGACUUGGCUCCACGUGUGGUCCACUAUGUGGUAGUCCCACGUGAGGGGGCAUGUUGAAGAAUAUGAGUCCCACAUCAGAAACUUGACUAAAUAAAAUAUAAAAUAUAAUGAAUAGUUCUACUACUAAUAACACCGAGGACUUUUGUGAUAAAAUCCCACACCUACUGGGCUUUGUAGGUGGUUAAGUUGGGGAUAAUAUCAGUAUUGUUAGUAGUGGGCCGCUGGCCCGUCUCUAUGAAUUUAACAUUGUAUUAGAGCGGGUUGAUUGAUUGGGCCUGAAUUGGGCCUCUAUCCUUACCCAAUAUGUGGUGUUCACAUGUUAGGCUCGAAUGUUUACCCCUACCCUUUACUCAAUGUGGUGCUCACAUGUUGGGCUUGAAUGAUUGACUCCGAUGUGGACUUGGCUCCACGUGUUGCCCACUAAGUGGUGGUCCCACUUGAGGGGGCGGGUUGAAGAAUAUGAGUCUCACAUCGGAAACUUGACUAAAUAAAAUGCAAAAUAUAAUAAAUAGUUCUACUAUUAAUAACACUGAGGACUUUUGUGAUAAAACCCCACACCUACUGGGCUUUGUAGGUGGUUAAGUUGGGGACAAUAUCGGUAUUGUUAAUAGUGGGCCGCUGGCCCGUCUCUCUGAAUUUAACAAUUACAGUACAGAUCAGCAAGUGCACAACUAGAUCACAGUGGGAAAAAAAAAAGCUUAGUAAUUCUUUUUUAUAAAAAGAAGCGAUAAAUUGUAUUUAUAAUUCAAGCUUAAAGGAAAAGUAGGAGCAAUUAAUAUGACAACUACGUUUAACAAUUUUUGGUGCAUUAUUUAGUUUAUUUAUUGUCCUGCCUCAAAUUAUUAGUAAUUGUUUUUUAUAAAAAAGAAGGGAUAGAUUAUAUUUAUAAUUCAAGCUUAAAGGACAAAUAGGAGCAAUUAAUAUGACAACUAUGUUUAACAAUUUUUGGUGCAUUAUUUAGUUCAUUUAUUGUCUGGCCUCAAAUUAUUUGUAAUUAUUUUUUUUAUAAAAAGAGGCGAUUAUCAUAUUUAUAAUUCAAGCUUAAAGGAAAAAUAUGAGCAAUUAAUACGACAACUACGUUUAACAAUUUUUGGUGCAUUAUUUAGUUCAUUUACUGUAUGGCUAGAGAGACUUUGGAAAGGGCCAAAGGAGAGAGAAAUUUUUUAAAAGAAGCCAAAAUGGACAAAAUUGCCGUUAUUUAUUUUUGAAUUUUUUAAGGAAUCCUUUACAUUUGCAUGUCUUUGGUUUGGGAGUUAAGAGAUUUUUCUAUCUUUUUUGAAAAAGCUCUGGCUUUUUCUAAAAGUGAAAGUUUUUUUGUUUUUUGUUUUUUUAUAAAAAGAAGCGAUAGAUUAUAUUUAUAAUUCAAGCUUAAAGGAAAAAUAGGAGCAAUUAAUAUGACAACUACAUUUAACAAUUUUUGGUGCAUUAUUUAGUUCAUUUAUUGUCUGGCCUCAAAUUAUUAGUAAUUGUUUUUUUUUAUAAAAAUAAGCGAUUAUCAUAUUUAUAAUUCAAGCUUAAAGGAAAAAUAGGAGCAAUUAAUAGGACAACUACGUUUAACAAUUUUUGGUGCAUUAUUUAGUUCAUUUACUGUCUGUUAGUAAUUUUUUUUAUAUAAAAAGAAGGGAUAGAUUAUAUUUAUAAUUCAAGCGUAAAGGAAAAAUAGGAGCAAUUAAUAUGACAACUACGUUUAACAAUUUUUGGUGCAUUAUUUAGUUCAUUUAUUGUCUGGCCUCAAAUUAUUAGUAAUUUUUUUAAUAUAAAAAGAAGCGAUAGACUAUAUUUAUAAUUCAAGCUUGAAGGAAAAAUAGGAGCAAUUAAUAUGACAACUACGUUUAACAAUUUUUGGUGCAUUGUUUAGUUCAUUUGAUUUUCUUGUGAACUGUGGAUGGAGAGCAGCCUUCAUGGAGGUACCUGAAAACAGUUCACAAAGAGUUGAUUUCAAUGACCGCAAGAAACCCUGGUAAAUCAAAAUCGUUGAUUUGCUCGAUUCAGAUGACUAAACAUAUUGGCUAAUGAGGUUGAUAGAAAAAUGUAUGAGCAGAGUAGGAUUUAUAGUCACUUACUCAACAGCCCGGGCAGUGCCUAAAGCAAUUCUGACUCUUGUGUUCCAAGUUAGGGGAUUACUGUAGUCAUCUGACAUGUGUAAGAAUUCAUGAAGCGAGCCAUUACUGAAGUACUCGUAAAUUAACAUGUUAUGCCCGUGUUCUGAACAAUAACCAACAAGUUCGGUGAUGUUGGCAUUGCGAAUCUUGGAGAUAUUUACAACAAUGUCAGAAAAUUCUUGUGUCGCUGAGCCUUGAAACAGUGAGGAGUCAAUCUUUUUCACAGCCACAACCUGACAUGCAUAUAUGAGGGGCGGAUCCACCAUGGGGUCAAUGGGGUCAAACGACCCCAUGGCAGAUCUGGAGUUUAGUGGUAGGGACUGGUUUUUGCCCUUGGCAGCCAUGGAAGUGACCCCAUGGAGAAGAAGAAGAAGCUUCGGUGGUGGCAGCUGGAGCAAGAAGAAAGAGAGAGAGGGAAGAGAGAUGGAGCAGACGGAGGACAGAGAAGAAAGAAAAGAAGAAGAGAGGAAGAAGGAAAAAGAAUAAAAACAGAGAGGGGAAAAAGGAAGAAGGAAAAAGAAAAAAGAGAGGGAGACGGGAGACGGGAGGAGGGAGAGAGAGAGAGAAAGAGGAAAAAAGAAUAAAAAAGAGAGGGAGUUAUUAAAAAGAGAGAGAGGGGAAAAUAUAAUAAAAAACAGAGAGGGGAAAUAUAAUAAAUAUUUUUUUUUUUUUUUUUUUGUUUCCUUUCAAACCCUUUUAAAUAUUUCAACAAUAUUAAUAAUAAUUCCAUCAUUUUUUCUAUUUCAAAUGUCGUAUAAUAACAAAAAGUUCUAAAUAUGAUGAAAAAAAUAUAUUGAAAAAAGAUUGCUUAUAUAAAAUAAAAAUAUAACAACAAGGGCUUAUAAUUUAUCCACACAAAAAAAAAAAAAAAAAAAAAAAAGCCACUCCUGUGGGUCACCUCUAGUUUUCAGUUUGUACAAUCUAUUGUUCAAGCCUAAAAAUAUACAAAAACAACCAAAAUCCACAAAAACUCACCAAAUUUUCUUAAUACAUUUGUACUUAAGGUAAAUUUAGCCCGCCCGAUUUGCAAUUCCUGGAUCCGUCCCUGUCCACCACCAAUAUCUCAUCCCUUGACAUCGCCGCCAAGGGUGCUAGCUGCCGUUCACCAACAGUCGUCUCCGUCGCCGUCACUAUUUUUGUGACCCCACGAGUGGCAAUUCCUGCAUCCGCGGCAUAAGAACUGUGAGUAAAAAUCGAGAGGCACCUCUUAAUAAUAAGAUAGGACUAUCUCUAACAGUUGAUAAAGAUAUCCACAUCAGUAAUUCCAAAUGAAUUUUUAUGCUAGGACUUACGUUUAAACACAAAUUAUAAAAUGAACCAGUAGAAGAUUUGGUGGUAAUUAAGUAGCAACUAUAGAGUAAUCGAAAACUAUACCUUCCCAUCAUCAUAUUUAGCCCUAUAGACACGUCCAAUGGAACCCUGACCAAGAAGGCGAGCGGGUGCAAAGUUAGCAGUAGCAACCUGCAAAUCUGCCAAAGCGUAAUUCGUAGCUUUUACAGAGGUGCUUCUUUUGGCAAAGGAAACGUCCAGAAAGCAACUUAAAACCAUUUGAUGUAGAUUUUGAAACAGGAUUUAUGUCAAUUGAAACGGCUCAAGGAUCUGUCACCGGCAUAUCAUCUAGUUAGUAGAAAGUUAAUAAACAUUUGUAAAGUGACAGAUAUUAAAAACCCAGUUGAUACAUUAUUUUGACUGCAUGACCAAUGGGGCAGGAACCUAGACUUGGGAGGCAAGAAAUAAUAUCAGGUGGAAAGCUCUCACAUACACAUUUAGUUACAUUGCAAGCAGAUUUACAGUAGUUCAAUUCUAUUCUAUGUUAAGAGUGUUGCAGAAUUUCAUUAGAACAGCUUAAAAUACAAAUAAAUUUGCAAAGAAAAUGUCAUUAAUAGGCCAUCUCUUUUCUAAAUUUUUUAAAAAAAACUGGCAUCUCUAUUUUUUCUUUUUAAUAGUUAUGUCAUCUUCAUUUUGUAGUGUUAAAUAGAUGAGUAACAUAUCUUUUUAUAUAUUCCUUUUAAAAAUAAUUCAAGUUCAAAAAGUUUACACCUCAGUGUCUCAAAGCUUAUGCCUCAUUUUAAGGGACCAAAAACGCCUACCCUCCUCCAUACCUCAUCUUUUGAAAUAUUGUCACUUUAGACUGAAGAAAUUCCAAACAUAGCAAAACAAAUUAAAAGCAAGUUGAUGAGAUCUCUUUAGAUAUUUGAGAAUAGGAGAUAUUCUCUCCCACUUUAGAUAUUAAAAGCGAGUUCAUCGAAGAUUUAUUUGUAAUUUUAUUCUUUCUAUAAAUUAUGAAUGAUAUUAGUAUUGUUUAAAUUCAAGGGUAUUUGAUAUUGUCUAAAUAAUUUUAUGGAGCUUUUAGACUUUUAAAUUUGCCCCUUCCCUAAAAACUUUUUGGAUCCACCACUACCACCAAGAAUUUCCUCCAGACCUUCAAUUAGAUAAUAAAUAAAGUCAUAAGCAAAUCAUUAAGAGCUGUUGGCGUGACUUGUGGAUAUUGACUUACUUUCCUUACACACCAAGAAUUCCUAUUAUAAUUGUAAUUGAUUUACUUUAAUUCCUGAUUUCCUACUACAAAUAGAUUUAGGAAUUUAUUAUUUACUUGCCCAUUCAGGUUUCGUUGUAUUAUAAAUAUGACCUCCUACAAGGAGAAGAAUAUACAGAAAAUUCCCACAAAUAAAUAUUCUCUCAUAGUUUUCAUAUUUUAGCAUGGUAUCAGAGCGGCGAUCUUGGAAUUGCUGACUCUAGUUUCAAACCCCCGCUGCUGCUAUGGGGGUUGAUGAUUUUUUCAACCCUCAUGGAGGUAGCACCACCGACUCCUUCUCUCAUUCUCCACCAACUAUCGUUGAGUUGAGUGCCCAGAUGGCUCCGCUCCUACAGAUGCAGACUUUGACCCUGAAUCCGAUCCAGACUCAGGAUCCUCUUUUGACGACCCCGACCCCGACCCCGACUCCGAAGACGACCCCGACCCCUACUCCGAUGAUGACCACAACCCCGAAUUUGUCUCUGAUUCGGACCCUGAUCCCGAUUUUGACUCCGACUCUGGCCCCGACUCAGGCUCAGAUUCCGAUCCCAAUUCCUACUCAACCUGUAUCCUAUGCAUCUUCCGCUGCACAGAUUAUGACUACUAGACUAACGACCCCGACACAUGGACUAGAUUGCGCAUAUUGUGGUGAUCCGAGACACACUUGUGAGACUUGUUUUAAAUCGCAUGGCUACCCCAAUUGGUGGGCUACUCUUAUAGAUCGAGGACAAUGCAAUAUGACCAGUAAUGGUACUGGUUAUGGAUUCCAUACUUCCGAUAAGAUUGAUUCCAGGAGCUGGAUAAUUGAUUCCGGUGCAACUGAUCAUAUGACGUUUGAUCCUGAUGAUUUUCUGAAUACUACACAACCUCGACGAACCUGUAUUGCAAAUGCCAAUGGUGUUACUUAUCCUGUGACAGGGGCUGGCACUGUUGCACUCUCAUCCUCUCUUACACUGUCUAAUACUUUACUUGUUCUAUCUUUAUCCACUAAAUUGUUGUCAGUUAGUCAGCUUACUGAACAAUUGAAUUGUUGUGUACUCAUUUACCCGAGUUUUUGUUUGCUUCAGGAUAUUCACACUAAGGAGAUUCUUGGUCGUGGUACUAAGAGAGGGGGGUUAUAUUAUCUCGAUGACUUUAGUCCCGGCAUGGCUAACAGCGUGACACAUCCCUUUGAUAGCAAACAAAAGCAAAUCUGGUUGUGGCACCGUCGAUUGGGACAUCCGUCUUUUAGUUAUAUGAAGCAUCUUAUACCAGAUUUAUUCUCAGGUUUCAAGGACUCUGACUUCACAUGUGAUACUUGUAUUUUGGCCAAGAGUCACCGUGUGCCCUACCCGUUGAGUACGAACAAGUGUAUUACUCCAUUUACGUUAAUUCACUCUGAUGUCUGGGGACCUUCUCCUAUCACUGCUCCUUCUGGUGUUCGAUGGUUUGUCACAUUCAUCGAUGAUUGUACACGGAUGACAUGGCUUUAUUUGCUGAAGAAUAAAAACGAAGUGUUUUCCUGUUUUCAGUCCUUCCACAAACAGAUGAAAACUCAAUUUAAUGCUCAAAUCCAGAUUCUUCGCUCAGACAAUGGUGGAGAAUUUGUCAAUCAUGACUUUCAGACUUACUUCCAACAACAUGGAAUUAUCCAUGAGACGACUUGUCCUCAGACACCACAACAAAAUGGUGUUGCUGAACGAAAGAAUCGACAUCUUCUUGAAACCGCCCGAGCACUUCUGAUUGGCGCUCAUGUUCCUCGCCAUCACUGGGAUGAUGCUAUUGUCACCGCAGUUCAUCUGAUCAACCGCAUGCCUUCUGGUGUACUGACUUUUAAAACUCCCUUGCAGACGCUUGCACAACACAGACCUCUGCCUUCUGUUUUGGUACUCACACCCCGAAUCUUUGGAUGUGUGGCUUUCGUUCAUCUCCACAAAAGUCAACGUAGCAAACUUGAUCCAUGUGCGCUUCGUUGUGUUUUUAUGGGUUAUGCCACUCAUCAGAAAGGCUACCGCUGUUAUCACCCUCCUACCCAACGAACCUAUGUCACUUUGGAUGUGACCUUUCUGGAAUCUGAGCUGUUCUUCCAUGACCCAUCAUCCAAUUCUACACUUCAGGGGGAGAUACGAAGUGAAGAGCAGAAUUGGAGCAACUUGGAAAAUAAAGAAAUUCUCCUUUAUACAGAAAUGAUUGAUCAUUCCGAGUCUGGAGCACGAGAUUACUCUCUGUCAAAAAGCGACCAAUUGCCCAUUCAUAGCGAUCAAUUGCCUGACCCACCUGAUCCAUGCGAAGAUAUUUCUGAUCCGAGUCUCACACCUACAGACAAUACAGAACAACAAGAUGAAGACCCCCCCUCUAACUCAACAGUACCAACAGACCAACCUCCUGAGAAUAUCCUUGAGGUAACUACUCCUACUAGACUUGUGCAUUUAGAUGAUAAAACUAUUGGAUAUCAAUUACCUUUCAGGCAAAAUCGUGGGAAGCCACCAAACCGUUAUUCACCUGAUAUUGGCAAGACAUCCAAGUAUCCAAUUGCAAAUCAUGUAUCCACUGAGAAGCUGUCUGAACCACUCAAGGCUUUUGUGCAUCAGUUCUCUGCUAUCCAUAUUCCAACCAAGGUCUCUGAAGCAUUGAAAGAUCCUAAGUGGGUCCAAGCUAUAAAAGAGGAGAUGAAAGCCCUUGAGAAAAAUCAGACUUGGACAUUGGAGACUAUACCCCGAGAAAAAAAGACUAUCGGAUGUAGAUGGGUGUUUACUAUAAAACACAAUGCAGAUGGAUCUAUCGAGCGAUACAAGGCAAGACUUGUGGCAAAAGGGUACACACAGACCUAUGGUAUAGACUAUGAAGAAACUUUUGCUCCAGUUGCAAAGUUAAACACCGUCAGAGUCUUAUUAUCCCUUGCAGCUAAUUUGGAUUGGCCACUACACCAGUUUGAUGUAAAGAAUGCUUUUCUACAUGGCGAACUCAUGGAGGAGGUGUACAUGGACAUUCCUCCUGGAUAUAAUACCACUCAGACUGGAACAGUUUGUAGGUUACGAAAAGCAUUGUAUGGAUUGAAACAGUCACCACGUGCAUGGUUUGGACGGUUCACCAUGGCAAUGAAGAACAAUGGUUUCAAACAGUGCAACUCAGAUCAUACUCUGUUCUUGAAACAUCGAAAAGGGAAGGUAACAGCAUUAAUAAUCUAUGUUGAUGAUAUGAUUAUUACUGGGAAUGAUAAACAGGAAAUAUCACAGCUACAAGACUAUCUGGCUACGGAGUUUGAGAUGAAGGAUCUAGGUGGACUCAAGUAUUUCUUGGGAAUUGAGGUGGCUCGAUCGCAGCAGGGCAUAUUUCUCUCUCAAAGGAAAUAUGUCUUAGACUUGUUGACAGACACAGGAAUGCUAGAUUGUAAACCUGCGGACACUCCUAUUGUUCAGAAUCAUCAUCUUGGAGAAUAUCCGGAUCAAGUUCCAACUAACAAAGAAAGAUACCAAAGGUUAGUGGGAAGAUUGAUCUAUUUGUCACAUACUCGACCAGACAUUGCUUAUGCGGUGAGCGUUGUCAGUCAAUUUAUGCACUCUCCAAGUGAAGACCAUAUGAAUGCAGUUCUUCGGAUACUUAGAUAUUUGAAGUCUGCACCUGGAAAAGGACUUAUGUUCUCAAAGCAUGGUCAUCUAAAUAUUGAUGGUUAUUCAGAUGCAGAUUGGGCAGGUAAUGUAACAGACAGAAAAUCCACAUCGGGUUACUUCACAUUCGUGGGAGGUAAUUUGGUGACAUGGAGAAGCAAGAAACAGAAUGUAGUAGCUUUAUCCAGUGCAGAAGCCGAGUUCAGAGGCAUGACUAAAGGGAUUUGUGAACUUCUUUGGUUAAGAAAAUUGCUUACUGAACUUGGGUAUAAACCUACAUCCACAAUGAAUCUCUUUUGUGACAACAAGGCUGCUAUAGCCAUUGCACAGAAUCCGGUUCAGCAUGAUCGUACUAAACAUGUUGAGGUGGAUCGACACUUCAUCAAACAAAAGCUUGAGGCUAAAGUGUUUCAGUUUCCUUUUGUGAAAUCCGAGUAUCAAUUGGCGGAUAUUUUGACAAAGGCGAUUUCCAGUAAAGCAUUCCACAAUUCACUAGAUCAGUUGGGCAUUGGCGACAUCUAUGCACCAACGUGAGGGGGAGUGUUGGCGUGACUUGUGGAUAUUGACUUACUUUCCUUACACACCAAGAAUUCCUAUUAUAAUUGUAAUUGAUUUACUUUAAUUCCUGAUUUCCUACUACAAAUAGAUUUAGGAAUUUAUUAUUUACUUGCCCAUUCAGGUUUCGUUGUAUUAUAAAUAUGACCUCCUACAAGGAGAAGAAUAUACAGAAAAUUCCCACAAAUAAAUAUUCUCUCAUAGUUUUCAUAUUUUAGCAAGAGCUUCAUCCUUGACAUUGAUCUUUGAAAAGGAUACUCACUUUAUGUUUAUACCCUUCAACUCAUUAGGGAUCAAAAUCGUUCAUUUAUAGAACAAAAUCUAGCUCAAGUAUACUUACAAGUCAACAGGAGUGUAUACAAGUAGAGUGAUUUGACUAGUAAAUUGAUUGUUCUGCAGAUUCCUGCAUGGAGACAUAGAGGACUUAGCAACCAGGAACCUCGGACACACAUGCAGUGUAAAGAAUGUAUUUCCUUGUAUUAAACUGAUUACACAAAGUCCCUAUUUAUACUAAUACAGGAUAUCUACUUAAGGUAGGAAAUAAUAUAGACAUGAAUACAAUCCGAUUUACAGCAGGAAAGGCUAAUUGCUAGGAAGAGAUUGUGAAAUUGACUUCCGUGUGUGCUAGGAAAGGAAAGCUGCAUUAACACCCGCCCACAAAUUGGGCGUCACAGGAUGCACAAGUUUGGAAGACAUAUGCUGAUGGCGUGGUUUAUGAAGGGCUUUGGUGAACAGGUCCGCAGGUUGGUUGACAGAAGGAACAAAGCAAACUUGAUGACUUCCAGGAGCAACCUUUUCACUGAAAAAGUGAUAAUCCAACUCAAUGUGACGUGUGCGGGCAUGGAAAACUGGAUUGGCAGCCAUGUACGUAGUGCUAAGAUUGUCACAAAAGAGUUGGACCGGGAAUCAAAUAUGAACACCCAAUUCAUGAAGAAGGGAGCAGAGCCAAGUGGUUUCAGCAAAGCAUGAUAGAGGGCAUGAUAUUCCGAUUCUGUACUAGAGCGCGAGACUGUGGGCUAUUUCUUGGAAUACCAUGAGAUGAGGUUAGCGCCAAGAGUAAUCACAUAUCUACUGGUCGACCGACGAGAAUCAGGACACCCAGCCCAGUUCGCAUCAAAGUAGGCAGAGAGCCGAGCUGUGGCAGUUUGAGAAGUGAGCGUGAGGCCGAGAUCAAUAGUGCCCUUGAUGUACCUAAGUAUCCGUUUGGCGGCAACAAGGUGAGAGGUGCGAGGGGCACUUAUGAACUGAGCAACAGUGUUGACGACAAAAGAUAUGUCAAGGUGAGUAAGAGUGAGAUACUGUAAACUGCCAACAAGCUCUCGGUACUCGAUUGGGUUGGAGAUAAGAGCACCAUCAGAGACAGAUAGGAGAACCUUGGCAGCUAAUGGAGUAGAUGCAGGUUUGGAGUUGAGAAGAUUGGCUUUCUAUAAAAGAUCAUAUUCAUAUUUGAGUUGAUUGAUGUGGAGAGUACCAUCCUUAUGAAGAACCUGUAAACCCAAGAAAUAGUUGAGUGGACCAAGGUCUUUGAUGUCAAAAUGGCCACCUAAAAGAGAAAUGAAUUGUUGGAGACGAGUGGAAUCACUGCCAGUUAUCAUGAUGUCGUCGACAUAUAGAAGAAGAAAGAUGGUAUAGGAAGCCUGUUGAAAAAUAAAUAAUGAAGAGUCAGCUUGGCUCCUUGUAAAGCCCAUAGAGAGAAGGAAAGUACUGAUGCAAUGGAACCAAGCACGAGGUGGUUAUUUGAGGCCAUAGAAUACUUUGUGGAGCUUGCAACAUAAGAAGGAUGAGUGGUAUCAAUGAAACCAGGGGGUUGAGCCGUGUAGACAUCUUCUUGAAGAAACCCACGGAGAAAUACAUUUUUGACAUCAAGUUGACGCAGGGACCAAUCAUGAGAAACUGCAAGACUGAGAACAGUGUGAAUGGUGGCAGGCUUGACAAUAGGACUGAAGGUUUCAUCAUAGUCUAUGCCCAGAUGUUGAUGAAAACCCUUGACAACUAGACGAGCUUUGUAGCAUUCAAUGUAGCCGUCGGAGUGACACUGAAUCCGAAAAACCCACUUGCACCCAAUCAAGUUCUGAGAAUGAGAGGAAGGAACCAAAGACCAUGUAUGAUUUUUGAGGAGUGCAUUGAUCUUUUCAGUCAUGGCGUCACGCCAUUCAGAAUACUUAGUGGCCUCUGAAAAACAAGUAGGUUCAGUAUGAUCAAAAACAGUUAAUAAGGCACGAGGAAUAUGGUAUUUAACAAUGUCGUCUGUAUGAAGCUUGGGUUUUUGAAUGCCAUCCUAAAGGCGCGUACGCAUGCGAGGAACAGGGGCAGGAGUGGGAGAUUGCAAAGCUGAUGGAACUGGGGGGUUCGGAGCUACUAGAACAGAGGCAGACGCAAGCAGAGAGAGGUGUAUGCGAGGGCGUCGGGAAUAAAUUUGUAGCAAUGGCUAGGCUGAAGCGAAAGAAGUGUCGUUGAGUGGACUAGGGGGUGUGGGGUCAUUGCUUGUGACUGCAGCAGCUGGAAAGGUGCAUACCAAGGAGGUGUCGUAAGCUUGAGUGUCUGAGUCUGGAGCAGGAGUUAUCGAUUAGGGCCCAGGUGCGGAGGAGGACAGAAUUGGAUGGAAUUUAGUAUCCACAUACUCUGAAGAAGAUGAUACCUGUAAAUGCUCAAAUGGAAAAUGCAUUUCGUUAAAUAAAACAUGACGGGACGUGUAAACACAACCCAUGGAGGGAUGUAAACAACGGUAACCUUUGUGGUGAGAACUGUAUCCAAGGAAAACACAUUCAAAGGUGCGGUUAGUGAGUUUAUUUUCAGUAUAUGGUUUAAGGUAAGGGAAACAAGAACCCCCCAACACUCAAAGAUGAGAGUAGGAGGGAGGAUGUUGGAAGAGAUGAUUGUAUGGGUGUCCCAUUGAAGAUUAUGAGUAGGUAGGAGGUUGAUAAAAUGGAAAGUAGUGAGGGCAGCUUCGACCCAGAGAUUGUGGGGAGUGUGAGAAGUGGUAAGAAGGGUAUGAAUCAUGGUGACAAUGUGUCUAUGUCUAUUUGGGUAACUCUGUUUAAAGAUAUGUUCGUUCUUUUACUACAGAGUUUUAACUCAAAUUCGUUCUUAUACGGUUUAUUGGACUGGGGAUUUGAAUUUGAUAAUUUUUGUUUUGGUAGGGGAAAUAAAAUUUGGGAGUGUGAUUCUAGGAACUGAUUGCAAUGUUUUAGCAUAGUUGACUUGAAGAAGAAGGGUUUGGGAAAUAUGUGAUAUGGUUCUCCUAUUCCUGACUCCGAUCUUCUUGCUAUCAUUAUGAAUAAUGUUGGGCCCUUAUAUGAGUCUAUUGUUGUGUUUGCUCAAGCCCGUGAAACCCCUAUUACAUAUGCCGAUGUUGAGGCUCUCUUACUCCUUGCUGAACAACGCCAUCUGGAAGUUCAUGCUUCUGCAUGUGAUGGUUGUGUUGAAGUUGGCUCACCUAAAGUUGUGGAAGGAGUGAAGGAAAUAGACGGUCAAAAGAGCUAUAGUCGUUUUGACUGGGCUCUGCCGCCCGAGUGGCAAAAUGGUGGUUUCUUGCCUAGGCACUGGCGCUCGAGCGAAACCUGCUCGCUCUCGAGCGACAAAGCGAGAAUUCAUGAUUUCCGCUCUAGCUGAAGGCGCGAAUCCAACAUGGAUCCUUGGUGAAUGGGGAUAGAUUGACACUCUAUGACAUAUAAAUAGGCACUUUAACGCUAGGUUAUUAUAACGUGAGAAAACUAAGGCAUCAAAUUGGAUUUGAGCCAAGAGUGAGAGAAAAGAGAGCUAGGGUUUGUGAGAGAGCAAAUGGGGUUCUUCAUUGUAACCAAAUGGGUUCUUUCAUAUUAGUGAAUUUCUCAGGGAUCACCAAGAGGACAUAAGCACAAUGUUGAAUCUCUUUAAAUUCUUGUGUUCUUUGUUUGCUUCUUUACUUUUCGGUUUGUGUGUGCUUUAUCUUUGCAUGGCUUAUGUCUGAUAGUUCUAUAGUCCAUCAACAACAAAGUCUUGGAGUGUUUUUCACAACAUAUUGUCCCACAAAAUCCAAAUGCCACUAGAGUAACAAUUGGCAUCCACAACCAAGGAAAAUCAGUCUUGACAACAAAUGCCACCAAAGUCCAAUACACCAUUCUUGACAUCAACAAGGAUCUUCUGCAUCAAAGCAGUUGUCCAAAUAAACAAGGGUUUGUGGCCCCGAAGUAGAGUCAUUAGCAGGGUUAAAGGCCCUUCAAUUGACUGGUGCAUUUCUGGAAGGUUACCAAGGGUUGUGGACUUUCUUGCUUCUUUUCAAUUGAUCAUUUUAAGAACAUCUCACACGUCUUUUCGCUCGUUAAUGUUGUAAUUGUAGCCAUCGACUAAGAAAAGCAUAAUUUAGUGUACGAAACAAAUAUAUUUUUCUUUAAUUAAAAUUGAAUUGUAUAGGUCAUCUAACUUUCUCAUUGAUUUAUUGACACAUUGUGUAUACACAGAUAUUCUCACUAGGCAUCAAGCUGAGACUCAUAAAAAGGAAUUCCAACAAUUGGCUUUUAUAUAUAUGUUGCAUCCUUUAAGUUGGAUGAGCUGCACAAUACAACAUUUAGGCUUGGGAAGGCAAUGAGACCCACUUGCGGUACUCUGCAAGAGCCCACAGAGGGUAGAUAUUUCUGUAAGCUGCAUAAUGUAGCAUGCAGUUCUUCAUGAACACUCCCGUAAUUUCCUGCCAUAGUUCAGUGAUUAAUGGUUAGAAAAAUUUACAAGUAAAAAUUAAGCAGAUUGUAAUGCAAGUCAUGUUAUGCUAAGAAAGAUACCUGUUGGGGAAAAUCCCCAUUUUCCAUUUGAGAAUUGAUAAUCAACUUCGCCGCACGAUGAAGAGGUGCAGGGUCUCUGUCUGCCUGUCCAGCAUGAAUCAGACCCAUCAUAGCCCAUCCAGUGUGUACUAAAUUUGAUCGGUUUCCUUCGAGCGGAACGUACUCCUGUAUCACCCACCACGGGACAAAUAUUUUAAUGUAAGACAAUGGGAUUGUUUAAGAAACUUGAAGCUUAAAAAUAUGUUCACCUCCCUCAUUUUACCUUUUUGGGACAUGAAAGGUAGCUCUCUCCCCAACCACCGUUCUCUCUCUGUGUUUUGAGUAGAAAGUUAACCCCUUUGCGCAUGGCUAAACAAUUAAUGAAAGUCUUGCCGGCAGCUGCUAACCCUCCAAGGGCAAACCAGGAACCAUAUGUGAAGCAAACUCCCCAAUUUCCAUACCUGUGCAAAAUGUUCCUCAACUAAGUUCUUUUCCAUAUAUAUAUUUACAUAUCUGAUUAUCUAAACAUACCAUGAACCAUCUGGCAUUUGUAUACUUUCAAGGUACUGCGUAGCAUUGGUAAUGAAAUGAUCAAUCUCUUUCUUUCUGUGCCCAGGAUACAACUUCUUAAACAGAACCAAAGCCUGAAUUGCAGAUGAAGUGCAUUCAACAUAUUCAUGCUCAACCACAAUGUCCGCGAAGAAUUCAGUGGGAUUUAACAUCUAGAGGAAACAAAAAGGAGAGGGAGAAUAUAGAGUAAGUAUCUGCUAGAAUAUAGAGUAAGUAUCUGCUAAUGGAUAUUUCAAACAUUAACUUCAUACUUCUAACCAAUCUGACUCCAAUUUGUAAAAAUGCUUACUUCUAACCAAUCUGCAGCUCCUGCUGGUUCCCAGGCUGCCAAACCACCAUUUUUACUCUGCAAUGAGUUGUAAAAUAAAGCAUUUUUAUUCAUGAGUUGAGUACAGAAACAUAGAAGACCCAAUUUGCUUACUGCAGGGAAACCACAUGCUACUCAAACUCAUAUUUAUGACUUAAGAUGCAAGAUAAGAGUACUUGAAGACACAUUAGCUGUUACCUGAAGGGAAAGUAGGACAUUGAUAGAAUCAUAUAAUCGCUCAGGUUCCAUUUUUUCACCAACUAUAUCUGGUCGCAUCAUCGAGAACAGCAGGCAACACUGUAGAGGGGGCUAUUGUGAGAAACCUGGAGAUAAUUAACCAACAGGGUGGAUAUCUCAAUUGAAGCGCUCAUUACCUUUAAACCCUCUGCAGUGCAAUCAGAAACUUGCCAUCCAUGGUCUUGAUCAGAGAAAGUCCAUGAUCCCUUGGAAAUAUGGCGGUACAUGCUUUUGAAGUCACCAGAUGGAUUGUCCUUGACCUGUACAGUUUGAAUACAAAGGAUUCAUUAGUCUGAACAAAUGAAUGGUUACACAUUUACAUUAAAAAAUGAUAAUUUAGUUGACUCUAGUUAAAAUUGAACCUGAGAUUUCUUGAUGAAGUCAUGUCCUCUAGCCAGCGUAGGUCCAAUUUCAUCAGUGAGAUUGCUAGCAAGCAAAGCUUGAAUUGCAAACCCAGUAUCCCACUCUUGACUACCAAAACUCUUCAUAUAUCAAUCAAACAAUAAACAUGUCAACUUCUAGGUGAGUUACUCCUUAAAAUUAAAAGCAUUUGUGAAUAUACAAAAAAAUAAAGAAGUUUACAACAUUCCAUAAAUAAUUUGGGAUGCUAUAUAUACCAACCUGCAUCUUCAUCCCAUCUUCAGCAACCCAUAAAUAAUCUGGGAUCCUAGCAAGAUGCUUCUUAAAAUAGUCUCCAUUUGGAUCUUCAGCCCAACAAGCAAGCAUACAUAAAACCUGUUCAAGUAAUGCAAAUAACAUGAUGAGAAUCUGAAAAGUUAAUAUUUUUCUCUAGUCUCCUAUAAGGUACAUCAGUAUCCUUAUCCACAUUACCUUUUCCACACAUCCAAUGGUAAUAUAUCUGCUGUUUUCAUCUUCGUAAUGAAUAUGCUUCAUUGUUACUUGAAGAGCUUUUUCUCUGACCAACUUGUUAAACGGCCAGCGAGUAAGAAGAGGCUCUGUACAUAUGUAGAGACUAUCCCACAUGAUGUCCUGUAUCCAAGGGUGAGGGUAGUAGAUAUCCUCCUGCAAUUAAAUUACUGUAAUCAGGUUCUGUACUUAAACAAGAAUCAUAAACUGAUUAAUUCAUUUAACUAAGUUUAACUCACUUUUGCGCAGUGAUGGCGAACUCCCUUCCAAUUAAUUUCAUUGUAAGGUUGAGCAUAAAGUUCUUCCCUUAACUGCAGAAUCAGAGGUGUGAUUGGGCCAACAAACCUUUUCCCAUAUAAAUAUGACAUAGGCAUGUAAACCAUCCUACAAUAGCACCACAUUUUUGCUGCAUUUCCAAGAUAAAAGAGGUUAAAAAUGAAGACUACAAGUAAAAACUAAAUCAAUCAACAUGGGGAAGGUGGAAAUACUUGGAUUAAUUGUGCUAACCUGGAUGCAUAGGAAGAAAUGAAGGCAGAACCCAAAACUCUGGGGGCAUUGGGUUGCUUCCAGACCACUCAAAGACACCAAGUAUCUGCAACAAGUUAAGCAACAUUAAUUCAUCUUCAUAUACGGUUAAGCACAACAAUUGAAGCCUAAUAAUUCAAUUAGUGUUCAUAACUUUUUUUCAUGCGUACCGAAAGCCAAGUCUUUCCCCAAGAGGGCAUGUGUGUGACACUACCAUGAUCAAGAAUCCAUUUCCUUACUCUGGCACAAGCAUUGUCCUGGCCUCCAUCAGGUCCUUCUCCGAGAAUACGCAUACAAAUGUAGCUCAGGGCUGUGCAGAACAUGGUGCUGUGUCCUUCAAUAUGUAAUCCCCAACCACCAUCUUGAUUCUGAAAAUACAUUACCAUUCUUUAUAUACUAGUUUAACACAAAAUAUGCACAAUGAGUGGAAAUUAAAUUUAAAAAUUGAUCCCAUUUGUAUGAACCAAGUAAAUAAGUAUGUACCUGAUGGUAGUAUAUGUAACGCAGAAUUUCUUUGCGAUGCUCUGCUGGGAAUACAGUAUUAAGAUGCCCUGUAAUGUAUGUACACAUGACCUGCAAAAAAAAAUUGGAAUUAAAAAGGGAAAAUUAGUAAAAAGCUCCAAAACAUUCAUAUUUUAGUAAAAAAUCUAACUAAAGCUCUAAAAAUAACUGUAAUUAUAAGGAAAUUAGAAAUUUUAUACUCACCAAAGGAGGAAGGAAAAACAAUGGGCCAGCAUUUUCAGCAGGCCAAUGGCCAUCACUUGCCUGCAAGGCUGAAAAGAAGUGAACAGAUCUUCUCAGUGAGGCUGUGGCCUUUUCAUAUGUGAUUUCCUCGCCAUCCUCAACCUUUACUGGGGGAAUUGUCUGCUUGAAGUUAUUCUCUUUUAGGAACUGCAGUGUAGUGAACAGAGUAUUAAGAGUGGAAUUAGAGAAAAAAGUAAAUAAAAUUCAUGAUGCUGAUUAUAAAAUUCUAAUUUGGUAUUAGUCCACAAAUAUAUCAGUGAUAUUUAAGAAAGGGGGAAUUGAACCUAGGACCUUGGAUGGAACUACAAGAUUUGAAUACUAGGGAGAUGUUGACACUCCCAAAAAUUUAUUAUUAUGUAAUCAUUCCUUUGUUUUUAUUUUUCUCUUAUUACCACUUUCCUCAUAUCAAAUGGUUUUACCCAUCAAAAGAAAGGAAAUGAAAACUUAUAUAAGUGCUAAAAACAAGACAGAGAUUGGCCCACUACUAGCAACAUCGAUAUUGUCCCCAACUUAACCACCUAUUUAGCAUGUGUGAGAUUUUAUACAAAAGGUCUCGAUGUUAUUAGGAGUAGAACCAUUUAUUAGAUUGGACUUUCUAUUUUGUUAAGUUUCCGAUGUGGGACUCGUGUAUUUUUCAACAAUUACUAGUCUACUAAUAUUCCUUUUUGCAUUUUAUUUGAAGAGGUUCUAAGUUUGAAUUCCCGUCUUUAUAUUAUUAAAAUAAAUUUAAAAAACCAAGACAAACAGAUCAAAAUUAAAAAGGUUUAACGCUAUUCACACUCUUGUUGUCUCUUGUCUAACCUGUUGACGUGAAGGAUAGUGUUGGGAUGGAUGUUAGAGUCUCUUAUGGUGGAUUCAUGGAACACGAGCAUCAUGCAAACCUCUUAUGAAAAUUUAAAUUUUUAUAUCCCCACACACACGCCACUAUCAGCUUCAACAAUUCCUUGGUUUAGGUCAAUUCUCCGCCAUCAUCUUUAUUUAUUUAUUUAUUUUUCUGAUAAACCCUCAUAAUCAUCAGUUUGUCUAUCUGCUCAAAACUUCUUAAAAUAGCAACCGAUCAACAUUUACUUUUACUGACCAAUUUUCUAAUACAACUCACGUUUAUAUGUUGAUUGUAAAGGCGGUCAGUAAGAUAAUCACAAAAAAAUAUAACCCAAAAAUAAGAUAAACAAUAUCGUUUGAAAUCAGACUUUGAAUUUAAAUCAUUAGUCAAACUAAUUUUUAUAUGCAUGUGUGAUCUAAAAUUACAGUUUGACAACGUAAAAUUCUAAGAAAACAACACUAUAAGUUAAUGAAAUUAAGUGGAUAAACACCUGCAUACGCCACAGGAGGUCACCGCUAGGCUUGACCUGAUGGCGAUUAUUGUAGAAAUUAAGACGAGCUUCUUCCACCUCGGCUCGCUCUUCGGGAGUUCCUGCCUCAGGAUCAAACUCAAAUAUCUGCCUCCCCACAAAGUUGUUUGUGCUGUAGAUGUAAGGGUCAUUCCCACCAUCUGCAACCUUAAGCUUCCACAUCUUCAAUAUCUCUUUCUUAUUAUUAUUCUAUAUAUAGCUGCCACUGCUGUUCUACCUAAGAACCUGUUUCAUGCAUGCAAUGUAUGUAUCUAUGGAUAUUGAGAGAGAGAGAGAGAGAGAGAGAGAGAGAGAGAGAGAGAGAGAGAGAGAGAGAGACCCUGUACGUGAGAAGCUGCAAAAACCUUAAUGUAGAGGUUGGUUAUAUAGCUAAGAAUGAAAGAGAGGUGGGGUCGGCCAGCUACCUAGUUUAUAUAUAUGUGUGUGUUUGUAUAAUGCGAGAGUAGUUUUUCGUGAUCAGCAACUAAUCAUUCUUUAAUAUGCUUCGAUAGAGGAAUAAUACAUAUCACCUUCCUAAAUUUGUACAUAUAUAUAUAACAUUUAUAGAUCUAGAGAAAUUAAACAAGCAUCCACUCUCUAUGUCAGGUAGUUCUUAUUAUAUACCAGCCUCUUUGCACGUGCUUCUGCGCCUGCGAGAGGUUUUUUUUAAAAAAAUUUAAAUUUAUUUUAAAAUUAAAAAAGAUAAUGGAUAGUUGUGUUCCAUAAAAAUAGGAUCCAUUAUCUGAAUUUUCUUUUAAUUUUAAUUUUUUUAAUAUGAAAAAUUGUAAAUUUACCAUAUUAUCCUCAUUUAAUUAAUAAUUUUAAUUCUUAAUGUUUGCAUUAACCAAGGGCAUUUUCUGGUAUUUUGAAUGUUUCACCAUUCUCUGUCUUUUGCUUUAUAUAUAUAGAUUUUAUUUUUUGGUAAGAACAUUUUCUUAUUGUUUCCGAUUGUCGUGAAGUCAGCCCUCCUCUAAUGUAGGGUGCGUUUCUUCCACCAACCACCAUCCACCCAAAAAUGAUUGAAUAUGAGUGUCGCUUCCACGCGACACAAAAUUAUAAUAUCGCGUAUCAAAGAUUAAAUGCACGAGUAUUUUUAAUGGGAGUUGUUUUUUUCAUUUUUAUUGUAAGAAUAAUGAGAGUUGUAAUUGGCAUUUCAAAAUUUUUAUUUUGCAUUCCUUCUUUUAAAACGGAUAAAGAAAAUGCAAUAUUAUGACAGACAUGGGUAAAAAUUUUCCCAAUAACUUAAGCAUCCCAGUCCUAGUAGCAAUACGGAGAACUUUCAAAAACUUCUAUAUACAAUAAGACUUAAGGCAUUAUUCUAUUUUAAUUUUUAGACUUAGGAUCUUUAUGAAAGAUUUUUGUAUAAUACAGAGUAAUUAAAAAUGAAAGCAAAUAAAAAUUGCGUGUUCAUAUGGUUUUGGGGGAUAUGCAUGAUCUGAAUUUGUCUCUUUCUUUGGCCAUUGACUUGAGUUUGUAGUGAUAUCACAUUGUAAGUCAUAUCAUAGAAUCUCUACAAUUAAAUUAUUAUGGCGUUGAACUUUAAGUUAGCGGAGAUGUUAGGUAUAAAGAUUUUUAUUGAAAGAUUACACGUAACCCUUAUUGACUAACAAUUCACCAACAUAAUUAAAUCUCUAAUAGGGAAAAGCUUCUUCCUUUGUAUUCACUUCACUCUUUUUUUCUUCAAGAAUUAAUUCUUAGCAAGCUGAAAACUAGACACAUGGAUGGGAUGUUCAAACUAACAUUAGUUGAUACAUCACAUUAAUGAACUCAAAUUAUCAUAACAACAUUUGAAUAUGCACAUAAAUUUGGAAAAAAGAUUCUCCGGCUGGGAGAAAGCUAUCUAAAUAUUUUUAAUGGAACAAGUUGUAUCUACAUUAGUUGCUUUGUACGUGUUUUUUAUUAUUUUAUCAAUGAAAUACUAUCGCUCUUUUAUAAUAAAAAGAUAUGAACAGAGUUACUAAUAAUGGCAUGAGGGCAACGGGCACCUAAUCAAAGUUUCCCGCGAUUACUGAGGCAUAUAUACAUUAAAAUAGGAAACCACAUGAAAAGUAUGCAGGGAUUUUUUAAACAAAGAACACGAUCUCUGAAUCUCAUACCAAAACAAAGCGAACAAUAAUCUAGGGUAUAAAAGAAGUCUACGUUUUCUAAGCAUGUAGGACCAAGGUGGAAUAAUAUUUGAACUGGUAUAUUAAAUACAAUAUAUAUAUGUUGAUGUCGGUGUGAUUUUCCCAAUAAUAUCUUUACCUUAGAUACCAUGUUUAAUAAUUUCUUGGAAAUCGAAUUUGACACAUUUUUUAAUAUUAAGGAACAAAAUAUAUGUCAACGGGGUCUAAAUUCAAUGAAAAAUAGCAUUAACUUGCAGACUAAUAGUUUAAGAUUCAAACCCUCAUGCCACCGUGAUUGUGUAUGUGAGAAAGAAAAAUAUCCGGAAGAUGAGAGGAAUGAAGACAUGUGAAAGACUAUAUGAAAUCAUAUAGGUGAAAGCUAAAAAUUAAAAACAACAAAAUUUUAUUUUAUAAAAGAUUUUUCUCUCUCGACUUGAUUUAAAAAGCAAAAGGCUGAAAACCCAAAAAGAAAGUGUUGAUAGGAUACCACAUGCACUUAGUAGCACAUUAAAGACAAAUACUAACAAGUUUUGGAGUAUUAACGCUGGAAACUUCAUUAAAGACAAAUCAAAUACUAACAACUUUUGGAGUGUUUUUUAGUGAAUUUAUUGUAUUAGCCCACCAAUGUGGACAUAUAUAAACCAAGCACAAAGUAUUCUACCACUCAUAUUCCUAUCCUACACCUACGUAUAUUUAUGAUAUGAUUCCUUUCUCUAGCUGGUUUGACCUUUGCGAAGCUAAGGUUCAUACCAAUUUAUUCAAGGACCAUGCUUUAAUUAUGCUAAUUAUCCUCAAUUCUUUAUAAUUUGUUUAAUUAAUCAUCAAUUUUCGCUCGUGUGAAUGUCAUUAGACUAAAAGAUUAUGAGUAAUGCUAGGCAUACCACAUUUGCAUAUCACUUUGUUAGAGAGAUCGAUGAAGCCGGCCCACCUUUAUUAGAGAGGUAAUGUGGUAUAAUGACUAGCAUUUUUGAAAGAUUAUUGGCUAAUUGUUCAGGAGUUCCCCAAUAAACUUAAUAAAUGUACAUGCAUGUAAUAUCUAAAAAUAACAGUACAGUUAGGCUCAAAUUCUUGAAAAAGCUAGGUCAUAUCUUGGCCAUGCUUCUACAAAUGUAUAAGGUUUAAUUUUUAAUGACCUAAUUGACUCAACCAAUGAGAAGCUGCAAGAUCCUCUCUCUCAUUGGAUUGUACACAAGUAAUCUCAUUGGAUUUGAACAAGAAAUUGAAUUGCAUUUGAUUGCACACAAGUACUCGUAAUUCCUCGUAAAUUUAUUGAAAAAUUUGUAUUUUGUACAAAUUCAUUCUCACUAAGCAUCAAGCUGAACCCCCAUAAAAAUGAUUUUCAACAAUUGGCUCUUAUAUAUAUAUGUUUAAUCCUUUAUGUUGGAUAAGCUACACAAUACUGUUAGCGAUUUAGGCUUCCGAAGGCAAUGGAACCCACUUGCGGUACUCUGCAAGAGCCCACAGAGGGUAGAUAUUUCUGUAAGCUGCAUAAUGUAGCAUGCAGUUCUUCAUGAACACUCCUGUGAUUUCCUGCCAUAGUUCAGUGAUUAAUGGUUAGAAAAAAGUUACAAGUAAAAAUUAAGAUUGCAAUGCAAGUAAUGUUGUGCUAAGAAAGAUACCUGUUGGGGAAAAUCCCCAUUUUCCAUUUGAGAAUUGAUAAUCAACUUUGCUGCACGAUGAAGAGGUGCAGGAUCUCUUUCUGCCUGUCCAGCUUGAAUCAGACCCAUCAUAGCCCAUGCAGUGUGUACUAAAUUCGAUCGGUUUUCUUCGAGAGGAACGUACUCCUGUAUCAACCGCCAAGAGAGAAAUAUUUUCAUGUAAGACAAUGGGAUGGUUUAAGAAAUUUGAAGCUUGCUUAAAACGCAAUCCACCUCCAACAUCUUACCUUUUUUGGACAUGAAAGAUAGCUCUCUCCCCAGCCACCGUUCUCUCUUUGUGUCGUGAGUAGAAAGUUAACGCCUUUGCGCACAGUCAAACAAUUAUUGAAAGUCUUUCCGGCCGCUGCUAACCCUCCAAGGGCAAACCAGCUACCAUAUGUAAAGCAAACUCCCCAAUUUCCAUACCAUGAACCAUCUGGCAUUUGUAUGUUUUCAAGGUACUCUGUAGCAUUGGUAAUGAAAUUAUCAAUCUCUUUUUUCCUGUGCCCAGGAUACAACUUCUUAAACAGAACUAAAGACUGAAUUGCAGAUGAAGUGCAUUCAACAUAUUCGUGCUCGACCACAAUGUCCGCAAAGAAUUCUGUGGGAUUUAACAUCUGAGGGAAAUAAAAGAGGAAAAUAUGUAGUAAGUAUCUGCUAAUGAUUAUUUUAAGAGCAUUAAUUUCUGUUCAUCUGACAGAUUUGCACAAGAACGUGGCUUCAAUUUGUUAGAAUUCUUACUUCUAACCACUCUGCUGCUCCUGCUGGUUCCCAGGCUGCUAAACCACCAUUCUUACUCUGCAAUGAUCCGAAAAAUGGUGCUUAGUUAAUGAGUACUUAGAUAUAAAAGAGCAAUGCACUUGAAAAGAGAAGGGUUGAAGUGCUAAAAGUUAAUUAAAUUCUUCAAACUAAAGCAACAAUUAGGAGUGGCAACUCUAGGGUUAAAGAAUCAUGUGAAACAAAUAUAGAUCAAAUUGCUGCAGGGAAAGCACAAGCUUUUAAAUCCAUAUCUAUGACUAGGGGGUGCAGGAUAAGAAUACUUUAGACACAAUCCUUUCUGCAGGCAAGUUCUCACCUGUAGGGAAAGUAGGACAUUGACAGAAUCGUAUAACCUCUGAGGUUCCAUUUUUUCACCAACUAUAUCUGGUCGCAUCGUCGAGAACAACAGGCAACACUGCAGUGUAGGAGAUUGUGAGAAACAUGGAGAUAAACAGACGGUGGAUAAGUCAAAUUGAAGCAUUUGAGAAAAUUUAGUUACCUUUAAACCCUCUGCGGUGCAAUCAGAAACUUGCCAUCCAUGGUCUUGAUCAGAGAAAGUCCAUGAUCCUUUAGAAAUGUGGCGGUGCAUGCUUUUGAAGUCACCAGAUGGAUUGUCCUUGACCUGUACAGUUUGAGCGCAAAGGAUUCAUUAGUCUGAACAAAUUAAUGGACACACAUUUAUAGGUAAACUAUAGUUAAAAUUGAACCUGAGAUUUCUUGAUGAAGUCAUGUCCUCUAGCGAGCGUAGGUCCAAUUUCAUCAGUAAGAUUGCUAGCAAGCAAAGCUUGAAUGGCAAAACCAGUAUCCCACUGCUGACUUCCAAAACUCUGCAUAUAUCAAUCAAACAAUAAGUAUGUAAACUUCUAAGGUUUUCCUCUUCUUUUAGGUGAGUUACACUUUAAUGACCAAAGGAGAAAAACUCUGCUUAAAAUCAUACGCAUAAAUGUUACAACAGCAUAAAUAAUCUGGGAUGCUAUGUGUACUAACCUGCAUCUUCAUCCCAUCUUCAGCAACCCAUAAAUAAUCUGGGAUCCUAGCAAGAUGCUUCUUAAAAUAGUCUCCAUUUGGAUCUUCAGCCCAACAAGCAAGCAUACAUAAAACCUGUUCAAGUAAUGCAAAUAACAUGAUGAGAAUCUGAAAAGUUAAUAUUUUUCUCCAGUCUCCUAUAAGGUACAUCAGUAUCCUUAUCCACAUUACCUUUUCCACACAUCCAAUGGUAAUAUAUCUGCUGUUUUCAUCUUCAUAAUGAAUAUGCUUCAUUGUAACUUGAAGAGCUUUUUCUCUGACCAACUUGUUAAACGGCCAGCGAGUAAGAAGAGGCUCUGUACAUAUGUAGAGACUAUCCCACAUGAUGUCCUGUAUCCAAGGGUGUGGGUAGUAGAUAUCCUCCUGCAAUUAAAUACCUGUAAUCAGGUUCUGUACUUAAACAAGAAAUAUAAACUGAUUAAGUAAUUUAAUUAAAGUUAAACUCACUUUCGCACAAAGAUGGCGCACUCCCUUCCAAUUAAUUGCAUCGUAAGGUUGAGCAUAUAGUUCUUCCCUUAAUUGCAGAAUGAGAGGUGUGAUUGGGCCAACAAACCUCUUCCCAUAUAAAUAUGACAUAGGCAUGUAAACCAUCCUACAAUAGCACCACAUUUUUGCUGCAUUUUCAAGAUAAAAGAGGUUAAAAAUUAAGACUUCUAACUAAAUCACAAGGACACUCCUUGAGUUUGCAGAGUUCUUCAAUCUGCAGGUGUGCUAACCUGGAUGCAUAGGAAGAAAUGAAGGCAGCAUCCAAAACUCCGGCGGCAUUGGGUUGCUUCCAGACCACUCAAACACGCCAAGUAUCUACAACAAAAGCAACAUACUCAUAUUAAUUGAAGCCUAAUAAAUGCAACUAUUACUCAUAUUUUUUCCAUUCAACAAGGCCAUACGUACCGAAAGCCAGGUCUUUCCCCAAGAGGGCAUGUGUGUGACACUACCGUGAUCAAGAAUCCAUUUCCUUGCUCUGGCACAAGCAUUGUUCUGGCCUCCAUCAGGUCCUUCUCCGAGAAUGCGCAUACAAAUGUAGCUCAGGGCUGUGCAGAACAUGGUGCUAUGGCCUUCAAUAUGUAAUCCCCAACCACCAUCUUGAUUCUGAAAAUACAUUACCAUU
rnacentral:lncRNA from 1 species